UCUCUCUCUCUCUAUAUAUAUAUAUAUAUAUAUAUAACAGACGUGACAAAUGUAUACAAAUAAGAAAGACAAACAUAUAUGUGUGUGUAGUUAAUUAUAUAAAGUGCUUGAACUUGUUCAAAGUUAAGUUGUAUACGCACAUCUAAAUCGGUGUCGAUGCGUGACACUUAAUUGAAGAACAAUAACACAGGUAAUUUUGUUAGCUUGCAAAUAAAUAAAACGGGGGUCAAUGGUGGGAUCAAUCUUUAAUUGGUGAAAAAAGUUUGAAGCUUGCAAAUGUAUGACCAGGUCUUCUUAGCUACGAGUUAGCAUCCGUGCUGACUGACCCUAUAUAUUGUGAAAGGAAAGGAUAUAUGCAUAGUGGGGAGAUACAUUAUCCACUCAUCAUAUUCAAAGAUGCCAAUCGUGUGGCAACAGAAUAGUCACAAGCAAAGGACGACCAGUGCCGUAAUGCCUUUCAAAAAAGGGUCCUCUAGUCCUAUCACCUAUCAUGAAGAGCAAACUGAUCGAUGCUGGACCAUUUUGUAUUUCAGUAGCUAUCUCAUGCAAUAAGGAGCUAACAAGUGCUAAUAACUUUUAAAUAUUGUUGAUUGUCCUUUUCUGGAGGCAUGGGUACCACUUCAGAGGGAACAAAUGUAUUGUCGUUUCCAGGGCAGAAGGUGUGAAUUUUAGGUAGCCUUUUCUUUUCUUUUUUUUUUUGAAGGUUUGAACAAAUUAUGAUUGAGGGCACUUCUUGUCUCAUCUAUAGGUUCUGUUCGUUUCUCCACUAAUGAGUAAUGAGAACCGACCUCCAUUUUGGAAUGUCUCAAAAACACUUAGAAAAAUUGUGGGUUUGGCCCACUUUGUGUUUUCUCACUCACCCAUUUACAUAUUUUUUUUAGUAACAGUCCCACAGAAAGUCAAAAAAUAUAUAUAUUUAUUCAUUCCAAAACAGUAAGUAACAAAAGAAAGUCAAUUUAUAUAUAAAGCUAUGAGAAGCACCCUCCACGAUAGAAGAUGAGCCACGCUUUUGCCACUACCUUAAGGACGAAAAGCAAAUGAAGGAUAUAUGUAUAAUCAAUUAAACAUGUUAGUUUAUAAGAAAAGAACAGAGACAAUACAGCAACAUGGCUUUGAUACAAAAACACGUGUGUGAUAGGGCUAAAAAGGGUACAAGAACUAAGUUUAAUAUAUUUGUUCUUAUUAAUAGAUGACAACAAGUACUUUGCUUUGAAGUGAAAGCAAAGCCAGCAAAACAAAAAGAUGCAUGCAAUUGCCGACCUCUCCGAAUUAGUGGAUUUGACAUUUUGUUUGUUGUUUAAUAUUCAGUGUUUGACCCAUUAAUUUGCACUCGCCCUCUGGUUUUGACCAUCUGGUUAUUGGUCUUCAAGUGGAUUUCUAAUUCAUUCUUAACUGAACAGCCAAGAGCCAACUAACAAGAAAAGAGAGAAUUAAAGAAGUGGAGAAAGAGUCCAAUAAGCUAUAUACUCCUAGCAUAAGAGGAUAAAGAUUCUAAAAACUACUUAAGUAUCAAUUGCUUUAUGGGUGGGGUUUCCCAAAAAAAACAAAAACAUAAAAUAAAAUAGAGGACAAAGGUCAAAGCUGCUCUAAAGCUACUACGGAAAUUGAAUCAGCAUGAUGAUAACGAUUUUGAACAUUUGAACGCUUGUUCCGAGUCAAAAGGACUAUAGGCAGGGAAAGAUUUUGGUCUUGGCAUUACUUCUACUUAAGUAGUCUUAGUAAUUUAUAAUACGGAACGCAUUCGACAAGUCCAAGUUCAACUUUAACUUCGUUGCCAACACAAAUAUCUUUGCUUACAGCAUUAGUAGAACUCUCCAAAACAAUUAAGUGAGUUUCCUUUUGUUUCUUCUAAGCAAUGUGUAAAUAAUGACAAUAUUGAAUCAGGGUCCUAGAGCUUAGUGUUUGAAAACAGCAAUGUACGUCGGAAGCGUGCAUGUUGCAUUCCCAUUACAUUGUGGUUAUUGAUUAAGAUUUGAAGAACACUCAAAUUACAUAUAGAGACAAGUCAAAGUUUCUAUCUUAGAAGUCAAGAUAUAGACAGCCAUAAUUCAUGCGCAACCAUAUAGUACAAGGCUCAAUAUUAUUGCAUAUCAUUGAUCACAUUUGAUAGUUAUAUGAUAAAUUUUUAUAUAUGUUCUCUUUAGUGUAUAUUAUUUAUAGGCAAGUCUUAUGUAGGGAUGGCAAAAUUACUACAAAUCUGCCCAAACCCGCAGGUUACGAGUAAUUUUGCGAGUUGUGAGCGGAUUUGAUGUUUCAAACUUUAACUCACUCCGGGUGGUUGGUGAAUUUGGUUUUAAGGAAAAAUCCAACGUGUUGUAUCCGCCAACUUGUGUUCUUUAUUUUAAUUAUUUAUAUUUUUAAUUUUACUCAUAAUUUUUAUAUUUAAAAAAAUUUAAUCAUAAAUAUUUAUAAGUUGAAGUUUGCAAAAUUUUAUAAUUUUUCAAGUUUAAUAUUAUUGAUAUUUUUAUUUUUAUUUGAUUGAUUUUUUUUGUUUUGCUUUAAUGACUUGAAACCUAAAGAUUAUUUAUUAAAAUUAGGUUUUUAUUUGUUUAAUUUAUUGUUGACGGUAGUUGUACAAAAUUUACUUGUUAGCAUUAUUGAUAAUACUUAUAUAUUGAUUAAAAGAUAGAAUAAGACAUUGAUAUUAGUGAUGGCGAUUUACCUACCACAGACAUAUCUUAUGUUAGAUUAAUAUAUUUUGUGUAUUUAUUUUAAUGUUGAAAUUUCAAUUUGUUAUUUACAUUGAUAAAAUCUAUUAUUGAUUAUUGUGCAGGGAAUUUUAAGCUAUUGUUAUAAAUUUAUAGCUUGAAUUGUAUAAUUUAAUUAAGUUUUUAUGUAUUAUUAAAAGUAUUUUUUAUUUUAAAUAAGAAAACCUGUAAAAAAUCUACUAUUGGUUGUGGGUGAGUAUGGUAAUUGUUAAAAUCCACAACGGAUGAUACCCAUUGCCAUACCUAAGAACACUACCCACAUUAGUCGAGAAUGACUUUUCAAUUAAGUAUAUAAACUUGAGGCAACUACCCUUAAUUCAUAAGUUUUUUUCUUUUUUAAUCAUGAGUAUAGGUUCGUGAGUUUUUAUUUGAAUAAGAGCCAAAAUCAUUCAUGAGUGAGCACACAUAACUUUAUCACUUGACAAGGGCAUAUGACAUGGGAUCUUAUGGACUCUAUCCCGCAUCAAUUGAGACUGAAUAUUCGCUUACACAUAUAUGUUUAAGGUAACCCUUAAUUUAUGAGUUAGUUUAAUUUUUAGUAUGAGUGAGAGUGAGACUAUCUCACAUCGAUUGAGAAUGAAUUUUUGAUUAAACAUAUAAAAUUGAGACAACAAUCAACUCGUUAACUAACUUUUGAGUACAAGUGAGAUCUGUUGGUUUCUAUAUAUAUCAAUUGAGAAUGAAUCCUCACUUAAGUAUGUAAGCUUAAGGCAAUCCCAUUUUAUGACAUAGGUUCUGAGUAUGAGUGACGUCGUUAGCUUCUAUAAACAAAAACAUGACAAAUGUAUAAGAUCUAGAUAACGUAAGUUAGAAUAAAUGAAAGUUCACCGUCAUUAUUAAUUAAUUUGGCAAUUAUAUGGUCAUAGACGCUAGCUUGUAUUUAAUACUUGGCUAAAAUGCAUAGCCAAGCAGAGAUCCACGGAGGCCCCAUACAACGUACACCGUUAACUCUUCUCACUUCUCAGGAAUCACACGCAAGCCCUUAAAUGAGUGGUCCCCUUUCUAACAAAAGACCAGGAGUAAUAAUUAUUAUGUACUCUUUAUGUUAUUUGGAUUUCAUAACCAAAGACUCAGACACAAUAAUUGAUCAGUUGUUUGUUUCAUUGACUAGGCAUAGCUACGGUAACUAAAAACAUAACGCUACGCAAACAGCACAAGAGAGACAAACCCAAAAGUAUCCAUGCAUGCACCUGCUCUCUCUCUCUCUAUCUCUCCGUCUGAAGCACGAAAACACACGCAUGUAUAGGAUGCACUCAUAUUCUUUUUUUCAUCUGAUAUGCAUAUUCUUCUUUUCUUCACGACAUUAAAGAAACAAGAACAUGUCAUAUACAAAAGAAUUCCUACAUAUAUUAGAAUCUGUCUCUACAAACUAGACAAUCAUGCAAAAAUGAGUUCAUUGUAUAAUUACAUAUAUUGGGCCAAUCCAGCAGUGAAGACUUGGCCCACACAAAGCGGGACUUUUAUGCGAAUGAGACGAAUGUAUUUGCGUAACAGGAACAGUAGUUCCACUGUUGUUUUUCCCUUAUCAAGUUCCGAGAAAGAAGGAAUACUAGCCUUAAUUUGUCAAACCAAGUUCACAUGCUCCCAUUGAUUAAUUGCCAGCAAACUUUCGGCACCAUGCAACGGUGUGUAUAAAGAGUGGGCCUCCUCCUUGGCCCCAGCAAAAAAGGCAGUGACUCCACUCAACGCAAAUACUUUUGUUCUUUCUUGUGUGUUAAAAAAAAUAAUAAUAAUAAAAACAAAAGAAAAGAAAAGAAAAAUGGGGGGACAAUGUAAUGUAACACAACUGAAAUAUAGCAAGUAGCAAAUAACUACAGUGCAACAUAGAUACAGCAGCAACCACGAUCAAUAAAUGUAAGAGUAAGACACCGGUGUUUAUUUACGUGGUGGAAACUGUAAAUAAUGGGAUUACACCACUAGCGGUCGGUGGAAGCUUCAUGGCAUCGCGUGCGAAAACAUCCUGCUUGGAUCACCACAAUGCAUGCAAUAAAUCGCUUCGGUCCAAAUAUCAGAUGCAGAUAUAGUUUGAGCCUUCAUUUCUCGGUGUUGGGAUUCUACACGAGGAUGGGCUCCUUUGGGAAUUGCCAGCGUUGGGUUUCAUGAACAAUCUUCAUCGACUAAGCCCAAUCAUUUUUUAAAAAGCCGUUGAUAGUUUUGGGCUUUAUCCGUUUCUUCUUUUUAUUGUUGUAACAGUGGGACUAUUGGCACCCCUGACAAUCCUUAUGUGCCCCCUUUUCUUUUCUAUUUUUUAAUUUUGAGCAAAAUUACAUAUAAAGAUGAAAAUUCACAACCAACUAAACUUGUACCUGAAAUAUUUUGCUUUUCACACUUUAUGCACCCCUUUUUACUUUUAGAUCAUAAUUUGAAUAAUCAUUUUUAUGUUGGUAACAAAGGAAUGAGGAAUCGCAAAUUCAAUGUUUAAAUCGUAAUUUAAAUAAUCAUUUUCAUUUUGAUAACUAAGGAGUGAGGAAUUGCAAAUUCAAUAUUUUUGGAUACAGAUGAAUCAUUUCCGAUUUUUCCUCAUAUUCAUCAAGUCUGCUAUCUUUAAAAUAAUUCUUUUACGUGUUUUUUUUUUUUGCGGAGCCUCUGUUUAUUUUGCAAUUUUAAUAUUCAGAGAAAAAUAAAAGGACUCAAAAAUUCAUUCCAUCUUUAAUUCUUGAAAUUUUAAUAUUACUAAAAACAGAUCUUGAAAAAAUUCAAAAACAAAACCUAAAAACAAAUAGUGAAGAAGAUAUCUUUUUCAAUUCCAUUAGAAUUAUUACAAAAAUAAACAAACAAAUAAAUAAGAACAAUAUUUAUUUUCAAAUAAAAUAUUUAGAAUGCCAGCACAUAAAAAGUUGAGAUGAUGAAUUGAUUAUCAAAUAAUAGAUAUGGACUUUAUAUUUUAAGAAAUUAUUAUUUUUUAAAUGAAUCAAUGAAUGUAAUAAUUUUCUUCGUAGAGUAAGGAAUAAGAAAUUUUUUUAUCCACUUUUUUAUAUUAUAAGGUUUCAAUAGAAAUUAAAAGGAAUAUUAAAAUAAAAAAUUUAAUGUUAAAUAAUCAAAUUUUUUUAGGAAACUGAAAAGUUAAAGAAUUUAUUUUUUUUCCUGGGAAAACUAAUAAUGAAUGAAUUAAUAUUUAAACAAAAUUAUUAAUUAUAUCUUUUUAACAUUAAGGUUACCAAAUAUUGAUUUUCUAAUAAAAAAUAAUCUUAAUUGUAGGACAAUUGUUAAUUAUAAAGAAGUCUAAUAGGCUUUUAUACAAUACAUAAUUAAAAAAAAAAUUAUUAAUUAGAGAAUUAUAAGAAAAUACUCGAAAAAAAAUGAGUUUUUUGAAAAUAUUAGGUUUUAAGUGACCGUCUUAUUUGCCUAUAUUUAAAGUAACUCCUCAGCAAAUGAGGCCUGAUAACACUAGUCAAAUCAUCAAAAUUCUUGUCUUAUUAUUAUUAUUUUUUUGGUCUCAUCCAGUAAUGUAUCCAUGUUCGUUUUCUUCAACUGUAAAUUUAGCCAAUGGACCUUUAGCCUAGCGGUGAACCUCUACUCUCACAGUUAAUAAGGAUUGUGAGGGUAGGGGUUCGAGUCCUCAUGGACUCAAAACUCUCUCAAUUAAGCAUUAUGUAUAAUUGUGUGGAGUUUAUUUACAAGUAUUUCUCCAUUGUGAAAUGCGAGUGGAGUAGAGACAUCCCUCGUCUGUGAGAGUUACUUGUUUAGGCAUGUACUUUAUAAAUUUAAUGUAACAAUUUAAGUUCUAGUUAUGUAUGCUAUAAUAGCAGUUGUAAAUAUUUCUAUAAUACAAUAAUCUGAUGUGUAAUCAGUAUUAAACAAUUUAAGUUCCAGUUAUGUAUGCUAUAAUAACAAUUGUAAAUAUUUGUGUAAUACAGUAAAAACCAAUAAUUUUAAAAUCAUCAAAAUCUCUCUCUCUCUUUCUCUCUCUUAGUCUCUCUCUCUAGCACAAUAAAUCCUUCAACAAAUCAUCGUUUGGGAUAAUCGCAUUAACAAUAUCUUAAUAUUCGGUGUGCCACUUUAAUAUCUUCAUUGAACUCCAUAUUGCAAUUGAAAUUUUUAAAUUUUGUAAAAUUACUUGAUUUUUUUUUUAAAAGAAGAAGUCUAAAAUUCUCCGGCAUCAUGUCGAAGGCUUCUAACUUAGUUCAACUACCAUAGCAAAAUAAGCGAUUGAAUUUAGUACGCAGAUUUGUUAACUAAGGUUAUUUUUGGGAUUAGUUGUUGCCUUUAGCGAAUAAUGUAUUUUUAAAAACAUUUAAUAUGAUAUAUUGAAAAUAAGAGUUAUUAAGUGGAUAUUUGAGGUGUGCCAAUUGCCCAACUCUUGUUUUAAAUAUAUUAGUAAAUUUCAUUCAUCUUCUAAAAAAUAAUAAUGUGAGACUAUUUGAACCCACUAAAAUACUUUACAAACCCACUUUUUCAUAAAAUAUUUGUUACUCAAAUACCCACAAUUACAAAUAUAGACAAACUAAUAUAAUUUACUAAAAAAAAUUUACUCUCUAAAUUCACUUUAAACUACAAAAAAUCUAUCAAUAAUCAACUAUCUAUUUUCUUAAGUCUUAUAGUAUGUGUGUGUGUGUGUGUGUAAUGGAAUAUCAAACGUAUUUACUUUGUGUUUACUUUCAAUCACAAUUUUAAAAUUCUUCAAUUCGAUUCAACUAAUACCAAGCAUAAAAACCAAACAAUAUAUACAACACAAUAUUGUGUCAAGUCUGCAGGAAUCAGACUUUACUACAUGCUGAAAAGCUCUACUAGACUGCGAACUCAAUCUUGCCUGCAAACUCUGCCUUAAGAGUAAAAUUCUCUUCUCGGAUACUCCAAAACAAAAUCAAGUCUCUUUGGCAUAAUUAGUUUUUGAGUUUAUUUAGUAGAAUAAUCUAAUGUGAGAUAAUUUAGUUAUGUGGAGGGUAUAAUUAGUAAUUAGAUGGGUGUGUGUAAUAAAAUCUUAAUUUUUAAAUUUUAAUAGUUGUUGUUGCCAUCUAAACUUUGGCAGGACUCCCUCCUCAGUCCUAACCAUCACUCAGAUUCAAUAUACGAUCGGACAAAAGUAGAUGAGAGGAUAAACCAAAGUGUUUUACUAACACAACUGUAUUAAAUAUUCAAACUCUAAAUUCUUUUGGUUAAAAAAAAACAAAUCGUAUUUUUCUUAGCUUAGGCUAAAUGGGAGGUUAGUACCGUCCGAAAUUGAGGUCAAUGGUUUGAAUGUUGGGAGUCAAAACAAAUACUCUUUUACAAAUGAGAGUUGGUUAUACAUUCUUAGACUCUUAAACCUUAAUUAAUAGAUCUUAAUUUGUUAUAUCCGUACUCUAUGGCAAGAGAUUUUUUUUUUAAAAGAAAAGAAAUCACAAAUGAUUAGUGUUUUUUUUUUUAAUGGAGGAAGAAUUAGUUAAAUAAGCUGAGCUGGCAAAUGACUAGACGAGUGGAAGCAGCAAUUAAUAAUAUUCCAACAAAGAAGAAAACAGUAACAGGCGACUUGGCCGUCUAGCUGGAGCGUACUGCGCACCUCCCUCUCCCCCCCGCGGUAAAAUUAAAAUUAAAUUAAAAUCCCCAAAACUCAGAGCAGAAUGUGAACUCCCAAUAAUAAUAAAUAUUUAUUUAUUUAUUUUUGCUAGUAGAUCUUAUCGUAACUGCCUAUUGAAGUGAGUGAGUGAAAUACAUAUUAGAAUUAGAGCGCUAAAAAUGGAACGCGAUCAGAACCAUCCCUAAAAUUCAGUUUCAGCCAAUAGAAUCUGGAGAAGUGUCUAUUGAUCAUCUUGUCGCUGGGUAUCUCUGUCUAGUCUCUAGUGUAGUGCUAGGGUUUUGAAAAUCCGGUGAUGUGAUUGUGAGAAGCAGGUGAAAUCAAUCAGAAUCAGAUGGCUUCGAUCCGCCGAACUUUAUCUCCAUAUCACGACCGUCAAUAUCAAAACGGAGCUAACUCUCCAUUUUCGCCGUCUCAUCAUAAGCUUUUCACUAGCGGUAAAUACACUUCGUCGUUACUGGCCGUCAAUCUCCGUCGAAAGGCCUGGCGAAAAUCUCUCUACCGCUGUCUCGUCUUCUUCGCGCUAGGUCUCCUGCUAGGCAUGACGCCGUUCGGCCACGUCACCACCGACAUCGAGAACCGCGACGUCUUCUUCGAGAUCAAGCCGCCGCACGUCAACGUCCAAUUGGACAGCGACAACAGGAGUGAUCGCAUGAGCAAGCGCGACGAAAUCUUGUUGGACGCGGUGAGUUUGGGCGUGGACUUCCGGAACGAAAUCAAUACCGUCGAAAGUUACAGAUACGAUUUUGAGCCGAGGAAGCAGUUGAUUGUGAUCACGCCGACGUACAACCGCGCAAUGCAGGCCUAUUUUUUGAACAGGCUAGCGCAGGUGUUGAGGCUUGUACAGCCGCCGCUGCUUUGGAUAGUGGUGGAGGAGAAUGCGGCGUCGUAUGAGACGGCCGAGUUGUUGAGGAAAACAGGGGUUAUGUACAGGCAGUUGGUCAGUCAAAAGAAUUCUAGCAGUGUGAAAGAUAGAGGGGUUCACCAGAGGAAUUUGGCUUUGGAGCAUAUUGAGAGGCACAGGCUUGAUGGGAUUGUCUACUUUGCCGACGAUGAUAAUAUCUAUACUAUGGACUUGUUUGACAGUUUGAGAGAAAUCAGGUAUAUUUCUUAGAGUUAUUCAGCAGGAACUUUCAUUUCUGGUAUCUUCAUUUAUUUUUAUUUGUUUGAAUGUGCAACAUUUGCGGAAAUAUAACAAAACCGGCUUAUUAUAUAUAGCAAUGUGUUUCUAUAAGAUUAAAUAGAUUGGGUUAAUGUAAGUUAUAUAUUAUUUAUGGCGUACAACGUUAGAAAUGCAUAUAGAUUCGUUUACUUGAUAAUUCCUGCUCAUUGGUUUGUAGCUUUAAUUAGUUCUCAAGUUGUAAAUAUCCUUUGACCUUUUCUGUAACACCUUCUUCCCCCUUGUUUUUCCAUUCAUGUUGUUAUCUAUUAGCUUUUGUUUUGAUUACUAUGAAGCAAUGAUAUUGGCAAUGGGUAUCAGAUAACUUUUUCUGUUUAUUGUUAGCCUAUUUGUUAUCUUAAAAAUGCCUUUACAAAUAUCUUUUGGUUACGUUUUCUCACCUUUGGCUAUCUAUGCUUUUGCUUUUUCUUCUGAUUUUUGUAUGAGACUCUGAGUGUGCUUGUAUUUUACUUUUUUACUUUUUUGUUUUUUAUUCUUGUGCAAAGCUGUAUUCUUUCUAUUUGCUCUAGAAAAUGCUUGUGACACAAUGUAUUGUCAGCAUGGUGGUUGCUUACUGAUCAUCAGAUUAUGAAAACAAGUAUCCUUUAGGCCCCACUGUUGUGAAUUUUACACGUUGAUUGUAAUGUGAUUUGUCUGAUUUGACUUUUCAAAUAAUCAAUUCCGGCAUCUGAGCUUUCGCCUUAAAUUUGUUGGUUUUUUUGGAUUGCAUAACAGCCUUCAGAUUUUAUAAUAUCAUGCGGGCUUGAUCCCUCUCUUUCUUUUCAGUACACUCCUCCUAUAUUGACCAAACUUGUUGAACUGAUUGGUUUGAUUUUGUCUCAUGUUUUUCUUUUAGAUAAAUAUCUUUCCUAUCUUAGGUGAUCCAGUAUGAGGAGAUGAUCUAUAAAUAUUGAAAUUCAAAUAAUCGGAGUUACUGAGUUUUGUACAAAUUUGUAAUGUUACUUUCUCUUAUGUGCAGCCGAUUUGGCACUUGGCCUGUUGCCAUGCUUGCACAAAGCAAAAACAAGGCAAUCAUAGAAGGUCCUGUAUGUAAUGGAAGUCAGGUUAUUGGGUGGCACACUAAUGAGAAAAGUAAAAGACUUCGAAGGUUUCACGUUGAUAUGUCAGGAUUUGCUUUUAACAGCACUAUCUUGUGGGAUCCAAAGAGAUGGCAACGCCCCUUCUCAAAUUCAAUUCGGCAGUUAGACACAGUGAAGGAGGGUUUCCAAGUACAUCUCUCAUCACUGCUUUUUGAAUAUGUAUUUUUGCCGCAUAGCUUAAAGUCACAAUGUGCUUAAUUACAUGUAAUGACUGGAUUCGUGCUCUUAACAUUUUUUAUUAAACAGGAGACCACAUUUAUAGAACAAGUGGUGGAAGAUGAAAGCCAAAUGGAAGGUACUCCACCUAGUUGUUCAAGGAUAUUGAACUGGCAUCUUCAUUUGGAUGCUCAUAAUCUUCCUUAUCCUAGAGGCUGGCUGCUUCCGAGAAAUCUUGAAGUUGUGCUCCCUGUCGAGUGAUAUAACUUCCUGCCAAUUUUGAUGCUAAGAGCUUCGUAUGGGUAUGAUUUCAUGACUUGUGCUCUAACAGUACUUUGAAUUUAAGCAUUUGUGAAUUUUUUAGGUUUGAAAUAGUUUUCGUGAAAAUUUUUUCUUUCAAUAUUUUUAUAAAAAAAAAAGGGAAAACUUUUUUGGCAGCUCAGAUCACCAAAUCCUCUUAAAAUUGGGGAAACAAAGAAAAAAAAAAGGAGAAAAAUUUAAAGGCAUUUAGGAUUUUAUAGUAUUGGCCAUGUGCUGGAAGAUUUCUCUUUGUCUUAUUUGGCAGGUCUGACCGUUUUGUCUCGGAUGCCAACCUGCCCUGUGCAGCUGUAACUUAAUCAGCUGCCUCUAUCAGACUCAGGCGGCAAUGACAGCGAAAUUGGAGAUUUACAAUAUUACUUGUACAAUUUUUCUUGCUUGAUAUUCUUUAACAGGAAAAAGAUUUUGUUUUCGUUGUAGAGCUGUGGUUUUUUAAGUCCGUUAAUUUCAGAAAAAUACAUACAUGAGACCAACGGCGCCCACAGACCUCCAAAAAUGGAAGGUGUUGACCAGAUGUGAAUUUGUGAUCUAGCCCCACAUGCAUUCAAAUGAAAGGAAGGCAACUUGGCAUGGAAUUUGAAAUUUUCAAAUAUUACUGCGAUCUCUCUUGGUAUUCUGCUUCUUGCUUCUCUGCUAAUUGUUUUAUCCGACUUGGUAAACUUCAAUAGCUGUCUUUUCACUGGUUUUAUACUGCAUCCCAUAAAGAUAAGAUUGGUCAAGAUUUUGGUUCGGACACAAUACCUCUUAUUGAGCCUUCUUUUUUUCUUUUUUUUUGUUGGGGCUAUUAUCAGUAAUUGAUUGUGAUUCUUCAGUCUUGACAAUCUUUACACCUUCAAUCAGAUAUGGUAAUGAAUUCAUCCAUAAGGACGGAUUAAAACAGGUAACGUUAGUAUGAAGGGUGUGAAACAAAGGAUACCAGAGCAGAUACAACAGAUUUACUCUUCGUUUGCCAUAAAUGUAAAAUGGAAAGUGAUAACACAAAAGUUCACGCCACUUGCCCUUCUUGCUCGAGAUGAACAGACUCGCAAAAAGGCAGUCAGAACUUCUUAAAGAGUGAACUUUGCGUGCAAUUUUUUUCAUCAAUCUUACUUUUCCAGGGAAAAAAAUGACUUUAAAUUUUGCACCAUUUUUAUUUUACAAGAUCGUUCAACCUAACUAAGAAGGGGCACCACGACACCGCCAUUUCCUUCUCCAGGAUCAGUCCCUCAACCAAAAUACCAGACCUGUUGGUAGCUUCAGCAAUAUUUCCAGCGGCUACCAACCCAACAUAUUUUAAUUAAACAUGCCCCAUAUUAGACAGAAAGUGAAAUCAAAAUUCAAAUAAUAACAAAAAAAAAAAAUCAUUUACAGCUAUGUUACAUUUCCACAAGCUGAUGGAAGGGGGAGCCUAUUUUUCCAUGAUGGUUGCAGUCCCUGGUUUGAAAAAGCUAUUCCGCUGUGCCUAGUACUGACUUGGAGUCAUCUGGGUUCCAAUUGAUCAGUAUUCAAACAAUGAAGAGAUCGGAUGCCGUACAAGCAGUUGACUUCAGCUGAAUUGUAUCUCCCUUGAUGAGAACAAGAACAAUAUCAUGGAGCGACAUUCACAUUCAUGAUGGACCUAAAUUAGCAGGUCACUUUGAAAGCUCCAAGGUCUUUUAUAGUCACGUCGGUGUUGCUCCAUGCUCUGAAGAACCUGUAUCUGAUGGGUUCAAAGAUGAAAUAUGCAGCUGCUGCAUAUGUGAUUCAUUUGCAAGACCAAGAACUGCAAGGAUUGAUCUGCAAAAAUAUAAUUGCAAUUUAGCCCAAAAAAAUAAGAUAAGGAAACAAGAAAUCACUGUGAAGCUAGAUGGUUGAAGAAAUUAUUCUUCCUACAACAAAAAAAAUCCAAUGACCCUCUUGAUUUGAUUGUGCUUACUCAACAGCAUACAAUGAUUGCAUUAAAUCAACAUAUAUUGUAACUUACAUGAAAGAAUAUUUAGUAUCUCCACAAAAUUGCAUAUAACAACUAUUUGCAAGUCCACCACAUUACUUAUUUUCUAUUUUAACUUCCCAAGUCUUAACAUCUGCCCUUGGCCACACAUUAUUAGCACAACCCAACACAUCAAAAUUGAAGUUAAAACAGUAGGCAAGAAGUAGAAUAGCAUCAUAUCAAGAAAAAAAGUACCUAGGUAUUGAACUUUUCAAGCUUGGUUGGCUGGCGUAGGUGGCUAGGGGACCUCUAAGGUUAGCAUAUUUAUUCAGAGCACUCUCAAGUUGUGGAGGUGGUAACUGCAGUCAGAAAGAAAAGAAAGCGGGUGUUUCAAAAAACCCAUGAAAGAAGGGUUAAUUUCUCACCAUUGAAGAAAAUAUACUACCUUCAACAGUACAGGAAAAGAAUGUGGGCGUGUCUGAGACACGCAUUUCAAGAAGCCAACCCACAACUUUGGCAUUCUCCACACCUGCUUUGAGAGCAAGUAAAAUAAAUAAGUUACCACAAGUAAAGGCAUUUGAGUGAAGAAGUUACCGAUUUAUAAAUUAUAGUUUGACCUGUCAUACCUGUUUACUCACAAGUUUGGAAAGUAUUUCCAUGACAAAAUCAACCUGAAAGCAAGGCAUGAAAAGAAUAAAUCACUAAUCAAUUUUCUCCAUAUCAUGCUUCUGUUUAAUAUAUAACUAACAGCUGAUGCCAUGCUCAUGCAAAUUCAACAAAAUAAAUAAAUGACAAGGCAUGACAAACCCUAUGCGGGCUUUAGGGAUAGUAUACAGCCAGCUGACAUCCAGCAGAAACAUCAACAAAAGAGUGAAAAAUAACAGGGAAUGCAGAAGCUGCUUCAGAAAUUGCAAAUCCUGGAUUUGAACUUAAUGUGAUACAAUUUUUAAGGUUCAGCAUGGUUAAAGUCUUUUUUUUCCCUCCUAAAAGAAAGUAGUUAAAAUUAUUCUAUGUUAAUUUUCUAAACCUCAGGGUUGACUGCAAUUAAAGGUGAUGACUUACUUCAAUGGACGUGCUAUCAAGGCAAAAUUCAAUUUCUGUUUUCUUUUUCCUUAAGCUUUUCAGAUCUUACACACAGUGAUUCAUAAUUAACCUGUCAGAUUUUUUCCUACUUUUAAAAAAGGAAAAAUGAAACUCAUCAACAUACUGAAACAGCAGAUACAGCUUUGAAUUGGCAAUAUAUCAGAUGCCAGCUUCUUUGUACAUAUUUCACAUUGAAUUUAAAUCUUUAACAACAGAAAAGCAGUAGCAGAAAAGAAUACAAUUACCAGAGUAGGAAAAGCAUCAAUUGCCUGAAUUACUGUUCUCAUAAAGAGUAGUGGCAGAGGAGUCUGAUCAACCUAAAAGGGAGAAACAGUUACUAUAUAUAGAACUAAAAGUGUCCAUGGAUUAUUGAUUCACUUUACAUACCAUUUGAUUCAAAGCCUUCGCUAAAACCUGCUGUGUGAAAACUGUACGCUGCUCAAAACAAGCUGAGCAAGCAUCUGUUAUCUGGAAACAUGAAACUUAACAAUUAUAAGCAUAACAAACAUUCAUAUUGAUAUAAGCUUAAGUUUUAGGAAAGGUAUCCACACCUUUAUUUCUUAAUCACAUUUGCCCAUAUGAAUGUUUAAGUCUACCUUACUUUCUUUUCUUUAUUUUUAUCUUGUAUUAAUAAGAUAUUAAUAACUCAAUUAAAAUAAAAUUAUCUCCAAGUGUAUGUACUCUAAAACACCCUCACAUGCAAAGCCAAGUGUAUGGGGGAAAAUUGAAUAAUUUUUAGGUGGACUCUCUUCUGUAAGAUAAACUUAUAUUACUCAAUUAUCAUCGAGACAUGGUAUGACACCAACAAAAGUGAAAAUAACUGUAUCAUGUGACUGGCAUCUUAUGUAUCAAUACCAAGAUCUUGUUAGUGAAGCCCAAUAAGUAAUUAUUUAUUUUGUAACAUAGAAAUCCCACCAGCCAGCUUAACAAACUAAAGUCUGAAACUAUUGUCCUGCAGUACCUUCAAUCUUUUGGAAGCAAGAAAAUCAACCCUUUUUUACCUUGGGGCCGGUGGGUUAACCAGAAGAAUUGGACCCCCUGAUCACUUUGCCAACUCCCUAAUAUGGUGACUUUAUUAAUUACCAAAGUCUAAGGUCCAGUAGAUCUGCAGAAACUUACACAGAUAAGCUGGACAAUGCUAGUAAGUUUGAAAGGCUGGAAUAAUUUGUACACAAAUUAUCCAGAAAAAUGGGUGAGAAAGCCAGCCAAGAAAAGAAUUUAAAGCUAGUAAGGGGGAAUUAUGUCAAGGCUUGGACAAACAGGCCUUUUCCGAAACGGAAAAUAUUUGGAAUCUAAAGAUAAAUGAGUCUCGACGGGAGCUUCACUAAUGCAUUUUGAGGAAGAAACAUAUGAUUCAAGUUGAAGGAUGUAUCUCCUGGUAAAGAUGAAUAUCAACCAUGCAAGGAUGUAUCCCUUGGUAGAGAUAAAUAUGAACCAUGCAUCGAUUCAAAAUUAAUAAAAUUUUACUAUUGCAAGCCAUUUGCGACAUAUUCCACUAAUAUCUGGUGUUCCUAAAUAUGCCUGGUACUCGAGUGAUAAUUGCACAGGCAAAGAAGGUUAUAUUCAACCAGACUAGAACAACCUAAAGUAAUGCCCAUCCUGCCUGGGAUCGAAGUUUGGCUCACUUGAGCAGCCCUAUCAGGGACAUUGUUUUGAAGUUGGACAACUUGCUCAAAACCUAGAGCUGCACUAAACUACUCUGUCAAGCCCAUCCUGCCCAACUGCAUUGACCCCUGUGCAGAAUUUCUGUAUUUGAUACAUCUUAUUACAGCAACCACUCCCUUUAAUGUUGGUGGAAUAUGAGAUGGAAGAGCAGACAGCAUAAUUACAAUUUGAAAUUACAGUCCAGAGAGAAUUCAAACAAGCACUAAACUAAGAAUUCCUUGAUAAGCAAAACAAUCAGAUCAGAAUGAUAGAAGACAUGCCUUUUUAAGUGCAAGGCCCUCUCUCUCAGGAACAAUGUCGUGUAUGGCAACUAAAACUUCUACAGGUGUUAAAGCCGGACCUGUAUGAGCUGACCCCUGCAAUUAACAGUUGCAAUCUCUUAAGAUGAUUUUUCAUGUCAAGUCAAUGUAAAAGGAACAGCAUGAUACUCCUGUAGCACUACAACUGAAUAUAUAUGUUCAAAGAAACUUGAAAGUUCACAAAUAAUUAACAAAUGCAAUUUCACUCAUCAAGUAAUUUUAGUGUACAAAUGAUCUUAUAUUUAAUGUGAAUCUGUGACUUCAAUCAACAAAUGAUUUACCUUGCACCAGAAAAUCAACAGAACUUCUGUGUUUAAUUUAAGAACUAAAUAACACAAAAAUAUAAUGGCCCACAUACAGCAUGUAAAGAAAAAGGUUACCAAUAUCCUAACAGAACCUAUAAACGUAUAAGUCCGAAUACUAAGUUAGAAGUCCCAAUAUUUGAUAUGUUGCUAUUUUGCAUCACUAAAGGUAAACCAAAAAGAUGACAAAAUGUAAUAUGGCACAAUUCACAAAGUCACAUUUAGAAAAUCCAUUUAUACCUGUAGUAUGUGAGCAAGCGCCAUCUGGAACUUCUCUAGGGGAAGAUCAACGAGGCGAGGGAAAAUAGGUAAUACCUAUAAUCAUAAAAUGAUAAAAUUAUAACUUACAAGAAAUCAUUUACAUGAAGGAACAAAAGGAAUAACUUCAAUAAGCCAUUUUACAAAAGAGAACUUCAAAAUUGGAGGGGCUGAUAUCUUGUCAAGAAGCAAUAGCAACAUGGAACCUUUUCUUUUCCCAUACGAUCUUUAUUUAUUGUUCACCUCCUCAUGAUGGUAAUAUAAACAAUUAAGUUAUAUUUAUGAGUCAAAUGGAUCACUGGCUUGACUUUUUUUAAGGCUUCAAUUUCCAGUUGCAACUUGAUUUUUUUUUUUUGCCCCCCUCAUGCAAAAUUGCCCAACAUAAAAAUGAAGUUAGAGAUAAUAUCAUGAGGAAAACAAAAAAAUUUAUAAAUAUAUAUAGCUGAAAAUCUAUCAUUUUAGUGACAUAUACAUUGAUUUAAUGGGAUCUUAGUGCUUUUAUUGUGAAAAAGGUAGAGUUUCUUAAGAAAUCUUCAAGGCAAAAGCUUUUCCCUUAAUAGCACGCGUGUUGGGACUAGAUAAAACUGUAAACUCAAACAAUUUCUUAGUGCUCAAUGCCCCUUAAUCUCCAGGAAUUAAUCACUUCUCUAGUCUUCAACGGUUAGGGGGGGUAUCCAUAGUAAGAAUGAGAUGGAAGUUUAUUAUCCCAAUCAUUCUUCUUAGUCCCGAUCCCCCUAAAGGGGGCGGUUCAUAACAAAGUUUCAUGUUGCUGAUUCCCAGACGUAGCGUCUCUUCCCCUAUGCCACCCAUUGGUAUUGGUGUAGUACGGAUAAUUGGCAAUACAGAACCCAUAGGUGUUUGAAGCAUCUGAGAUGUUUCAAAAAAAAUAUUCAUUUUUCAUUCUCACUCAUGCAAGAUAUCUAGAUUUCAUGUGAGAUAAAACUCUUUCGGCCACUUGCAUAACUUCACAUGAGAUCAUCUCCUGUAAUUAGGCAGCCCAUGCAGAUCAACUCUACAGUCACUACAGUCUUCUAUAAUCUAUCUGUUUAAUGUUUUUCAUAAUUACUAUCUAGUGCAUGCCAAAUCACUUUUUAAUAUGAUUAAUCUACAAACUUAAAUCAAUUACUCACACUCCCUCAUGAAAAGUAAUUGCACAGAAGUGAUUAAUAAUGUUUAUAUUCAAAUUGACUAGAGCUAAAUUUGAAGGCACAAAUACUGAUAUAAAAUCAAAAUUAACAGGAAAAUAUAUUCUUAUCUAUUAUACAAGGGGUGCUGUAGGAAUUAUAAACCUAUGGAGGGCCAAUAAAUAUCUGGCAGAACACGUACUGAUACAGUAUAAGCCUAUAAAGUCUAGUAACUCUGAACUUCUAGACAUUCAAGCUCAAACUGUAAAUAUAUAAUCCUUAUUAGCAAUAUCUUGCCAUGAUGUUUUGCAUCUUGAUAUUCAAUGAUACAAUCACACAAACAACAAAAACUAAAAAAAUGAAAUAAUAAAAGAGGAGAGAAAUUCAGGAAGCAAACCUCAUUCUUCGUAAGUGAAGAAAGCAUUGGUAUAAGAAUGGUAGCAUCCUAAAUAUUAAAAAAAAUUUUAAAAAAAAGGGUUUGCAUUAGACUUGUGACAUUCAAAUUUAACUAUGUCCUAGAGAGAGAGAGAGAGGGGGGGGGAAUUAUGUUUCAGGUAUGUGAAAUACCUUUAACUUUGUUUCAUAUAAAUGCUUAACAGUCGCUAUUAGAUCGGAGGAAGGUGUGGUUUCUUGGGUCAAUAUUUGCAGCACCUGGUAAGAAAAGAAAACCACUAUCAUAAAAAAAAAUUAAAAAGAUGAAAUAGAUUUACAAUUGAAAAAAAUAAUAAUAACUCACAAGAGUUAAAAGAUUUUCACUUCCUUGAGGUGGAUCGGAUAUUAUGUGCAGUAAUUCAGAACAAGAUGAACCCAACGCCCUUAUAAGAAUUGGGAUAUGGCGAUGAAAAGCCUAUAUCAUUCAAAAAGUGUGCAAUAAAAGUUGGACAAACUCUCAAUAGAAACAGAAAAGAUAAAAAAUAAUAAUAACGUUAUGCAUAUUCAAAAUAAAAACACAUUAUGAUCAUAGCCUCCAACACACAGAUACUUUAUUUCACCUAGGAAAUCCAUGUCAGAUAUCACAUCAUGAGCACUAGUAAGGCUGCUGGACAAUCCAUUUUAAAGACCGGGUAUACCAAGCCAGGUGCCAUGAAAUACUUCACACUUCACUAUAGUCCUCAUAGCCUAGGAUAAAAUAAAUAAAGGUGUCUUACCAUUUGAGAAUUUGAGAACUGACCAAUAUGGACUGAUAACCUAGCAGGAUUUGCUACAACCACAAUAGUUAACAUAACUUUAGCAAUAAUUAAAAAUACCUGCUUUACAGAUUUUGGAGCUUGAACAUAUUUGUCAAAAAUAAGUUGAAGAAGACGAGGUUUCUGGAACAAAAAAAAAGUCUCAUCAGGAUUACCAAAAUAAUGAAAGCUCAAAUCUUCAAAUUUAUCAGUAUCAGAGAAGUCAUUGACAAACCUUUGUACAUAAAGCAAAAAACAAGGAAGUCAGACGUUGAGCCUCAGGAAAUGAUAUAGUUGAAAGACUAUGAGAAAUUGGUUGUCCACCCUUCACUGAGUCCAUUUCAAAGGUUCCAGGCUCCGAAACUUGGGAGCCACUAAUGGAUGUUUCCUGGCUUCCAACCUGAAAUGAUUUUUCAGCAAGAAUAAUCAAAAGCAAUUCUAAGAUCUCGUUUGACAAAGGAGAACGCUGGAGUGCAGAGGUUCCCCCCCUCUCCUCUCCUCCCAAGAUUUUACUUUAGUUCGUCCUGAAAGGUUUAUGUUUCCCAAAAUGGAGAAAGUGCAGGUGCAUCGGUGUAUCCUUUCUGCUCUCAUGAAGGAAAAGCAACUACUGCUCAUCUACCACAAUCCAUGUGAUGAAUCAUUGAUUGAAAUGCUUAAGAGCUUGGUAACAAAGAUAUUAAGUAAUAUGAGCACUAAACAACUUAUAUGAGUGUGACUAGAUAAUACCACCUAAAUUAAAUUACAAUCUACUGUUUACAUGGGAUAGACGAUCCUAGCUCCUAAUAUGGGUUUUUGGUUUUUAUUUUUUGGAGAAGAAACUGAAAUUUGUAUUAAAAGAUGAAGAUUACAAUGAACUGGACCAGCUGUCCGCUACGCUGAAAAAAUGAGACUCUGUAGAGGCUGAAGCCAAAGCAAAGGUAAAAUAUGAACUCCAUCCCACAAUUCUUUAAUGUUAUCCGCUCUUUUUGCCUGAAAAAUGCCAGUAUUUCUUUCUUUCCAUAUUACCCGAAAUGAAGCUGUCACUCCAUAAUCUAGUCUAACAUGGAACUUAACAAGAUAAUAUGGGUGUACAAAAUGGCUGCUGGCAAUACCAUCAACCACCACACCCAGAGAAGGAAAAAGAAAAAGAAAAUGCAACCCUUAAUUUAACUUUUAUCUCUCUCUGAAUAAUCCAAAAAGAUUUUAUAAAAAAUGGAACCACUGACUUAAUUUUAAUCUCUCCAAACACUCCCAAACAUAAAAAUCCAGUUCAUUCUCUCCAAACACUCCAAAAGGUGAAAAUCCAGUUCACUUUCCACAAGACCAAGAAUUUGAACAUUUGGCAUGCUACAGGAACAAAGCAAAUGAAAAUACAUAAAGGGGACCACAAAGUGGAAUAGGAAAAAGUUUCAUACCUCCCCCUCAGCUUUGAGAUCAGCAGAAUCAGACUGUGAACACUCUAAGUUUGAAGAAUGCUGAUUCACAGCAGACAGCAUCAUAUUUGUUGCAUAUUGUUCUAUAUUUUCUGUUAUGUAGCUUAACUGAUAGAGUUUGUUCGACACCUGUCCAUUAUAAACAGAAGAAAAUUAAUACAUUGUUAGCACAACAAGAACUGAAAUACAGCCCAGAUAAAAAUUAAUUCUUUUUUUUCCUUUUUCCCUCCACAAUGGUAAUGUCAGGACGUUUCUAUACCAGCCGAAUAGCUUUCGCUCGAAUUUCAUCUUGUGAAUGAGCAGCAGACUGCAAACAGAAAACAAAUAUAUAAGCAAAACAUAGCUCAUAUCCACCUAGUUUUCGCACAGGCACACGGUUGCACUCUAGGCUAUGAGAUUUUCAUAAGCAAGUUACCUUCAAAGCUAUGUCUAGGCAGGCUUGGCGAUAAUAUGGACGACCCAAAAUCAGACUCCACACUGCACCGAGGCCCUGAGUCACACGCUCACCAUCGCGGACCUCUUUCCCAUGGAGAUCAAAAACAGCAGAAGAGCAGAGGUCGUCUAACAGUUGUAAGACAGAGUCAGGCAAAACAGGAACCUCACCCAGAAGCCUACUAAAAGACUUGUCUGAAGCCGGAAAAGUGUCCAACAAAGAUUUCGCCUACAACAACGACGGUUAGAUAAUUCUGAUUCUCAAGGAAACAAAAAUGAGGUUGAGAUAGCAGAAUCUGUACCCACCACUGCCAAGAGGAGUUUUUCAUACACAGCAGCAGCAUAUGAAGAGUUUUCAUUGGAACUAGAGAUCAUGAGCGAUUGUAGAUGAUAGAGAAUAUGCAGCACAAGUUCAUGUCCCUGACACAGCAAAGAAAAAUAUAACUUAAGAACUGAAAUAUAAAGGUCUAAAAACAAUCCUAAAAGAAAACCAAUAAACAAAUAAAUCAACAAGUAGCCACUCAUCACAACUGAUGGACUCCAUAAACUUAGCUAUCGUCUGAGAGAAACAGGUACAAAUGCUAGCUAGAACAAUAGUUGAUCAAUAGCGCCCAUCAAAACACAAGUCAAUAACAAACAAGAAAACAUUGUGCAUAAUAGAAGUGACAACAGAUAACGUCCCCAUAAUGCAGACACAAGACUCUACAUAUGGAGUCGAGCAAUGAAAAAAUCAAAAGCCAGGAAGUUAUGAUAGUUCAAGAGAAGCACCAGAAAAGAACAGCUACUCAUAAGGAACCACAUUUUGAAACCAAUAGUAGCAGAACAUGUGAUUUUGACCAGAAUUUCAGAAUCCAUAGGAUCAGCAUUCCAACUUGCUGAAUUUCAGCACAGCAACUUUCACCGGUUAAGUCUUAUGCUGAUUUUAUUAGAGGGUUGCAUUUUUUUUGUCAAAAUUAAUCUUAUAUCUAUGAGGACCAUCGGAUUUCACUCUUUAGUUGAAAAUGUAUUGGAUACAAUAAAAAAGAAAAAAAUUAAAAUACAAAACAGAAGCGAUUCCUCAAAGUUACACGGCAGAGAUUUUUGUAAUUUUUUUAAUAUUAGUUGAUUCAAGAGUUGCCUACUCAUAUUUUGAUGUCCCCACCCCCACCCCCAAACGAGGUUCGAAUCCAGAACCUUGGCAUUAUAGGGUUACAAGUUAUCAUAAAGAGAAUACCUUUUGCUCUUGGUAAUUUGCAACAACAUAUUUUUGCAGCAUCAUAACAAUGUCUUCAUCUGCAUCAAUCUGCAAAAAGAGAGAGAGAAUUAACAUUAAUGCAAUUUUGCCAAAUGUUAAUUUACAGAGAUUGGGGAUAACAAAAAAGUAGUAAACAAUAGAACAUAAGCCCAAGCUCUGAAAUUAUUUUAAUAAUCCAAUGUAAAUUCAAGCUGAAGAAAAAGUUUGUAGAGCAUUUCCCAAGCUCUAAGCAAUAAUAAUGUACUUGCCUGAGCGAUCAAUCGAGCAAGCAACCCCAUCCGGGUCUGGCUGCACUCUGCCCCCUGAAGAUGUUUGUAAGAUUCAAAAAUACGUUCAACAGCAAAUGUUCUAACACUUUUCUGCUCUUCUUCAGUUAGCUCAACCAAAAGUGGAAGAGGAGGUAAAUCUUUACAGGUCUCCUCCCAUGCAGAUGCAUUUGAUACAGCUGAAGUAUGCUGGUCAGAUUCCACCAAAGAAGAUGUACUGGUCCCGUAUACUUCAACAUCAGAUAAUUCUACUACUGCAGAAUCCUCGUCAACAGCACGAGAAGAAAUUCUAUGAUCUGAAGAAGCACAGACCUCAGGAAGGGUGACAAUUUCUUCAGAUCUAGAGAGUCCUUCCUCAGCAUUAGGUUGAUCCAUUUUACAAACAGAUGGACUUUCAAAUGUCAUAUCGUCACUUUUGGCACUGGUCAACAGAGGAGCUGGAAGAUUUUCAGCAGAUGUCGUAAUGUCUAGUGAGGGAGGCCUAGUUAUAGAACUAGAAUCAUCAAACUCAGAUUGCACAGGACCAGCAUCCUCUGUGGUAGAUAUGGAUGGCACUCCAACAGGGGUUGCUACACGCCGGGGAUCCAGACGACGGGGAUCCUGAAUAAGCCACCAGUAGCUUAUUAUAAAGAAGAGAUAUUUUCAACAUCCUAAGACUAGACAGAUUGCAUAAUAUCCAAAAGUAACAGUUAGUAAAUAUAGAGAAAUACAAACCCUUCUGGGAUCACGUUUAGAAUCAGUAGCAGAAGUAUUGCCAGUAGCUGUAUCAGACAAAGAAGAACUGAUUGCAGCAACUGAAGAAGGUAGUUGUACUUGUGCAGUGAGAAGAGAAGACUGCAUCGUAUUUAUUUGAGAUGGCAGCACCACAACCUGAGCUGGACUACUUAGAGAGCCAAUUUGUCGAGUCACAGGUAAGUUCCCAAGCCUUGUCAGAGGUGGGGGUGUUUUAUGCAAAUGCUUCAUAUUAGAUAUGACAAUAUCAGCCAACAGAUCAGGGUGAAUAUUUGAAAUAAGUAGCUCAAGCGAUUCAGCUCCUCUUUCUCCUUCGGCAAGCAAAGCAGCAAUCAUAGCAAUCAUUUGCUCCACAGGAUUCAAAUCACUAUCUAAAAGAGGAACACUAGGGGAUACUCCAUUUACAGAAACAGAAUCCUGCCAAGACUCAUUCAUUUGAGCAGACAUAGCCAAAUGGUUGUUAGGACCAUAUCGAACCCGCUUGGAAGCCACAUCAAGACCAUUAUUUCGCUCUUCAUUAUCCUGAGGCAUAGACCUUUUUUUCAACAGAUCUCUUAAAAGGGGCAGCUGGGUUGAUGGCUGAUCAUUCUGAUAAUUGAAAAAUAAAUUCAGUAUGAAGCAACAAAAACUUAAAGUUUAUUGACUAGAUUCUAGUGAGGAAAGGAAAAAGUAUUCACUACCCGGUCAACCCGAUUUUCACGUGCACGCUCAGAAUUUCUAAUCAUUUUAUCAACUUGUCGAACUACUUGAUCCGCAGUAUCCCCGGCAUUUAUUGCUCGUAGAGCUUUAAGCAACCUGUCUCUUGACUGCAAAUGAAAGAUAGGAGACGAAAAAAUUAAAAAAAAAAAAAUCAGGCACAAGACUUGGCAAACAGAUUAAGAAUUUAGAGCUUAUGUUCAAAUAUUAGGGAUCUAAUGGGCAAGCUUCCUUUUUGUGUCUAGUUAGUGAGAAAUUGUCCUCUAAGAGCCUACUUAUGCAACCUAUUCAAGCCAUCUGACAUUUGGGAGCUUCUUUCAGCAAAAAGAAAUGUUUCAAUCAGCCAAAAUGAAAGACAAAGGAAGCAGGGACCUGCCGGAUGGAAGUGCUAAUGUUGAAGCAGAAAAUAGGUAAAAUACAACACAAAACUUAAGUAUGGGAUAUUCUUGUUGUCCUGUAGGAAUGUGGAGUGGAAAGAAGCUUCAGGGCCGUUAAUCUAGAAAUUCACAAAGAAAAUCAUAAUAAUACAGAAUCUAAAGAUGACAACCAAACCCACCUGUUGAAUUGAGUUCCAAUGACCUCAUCGAGGAAAGCCUGGAAAAUUAUCAUUGGAAGAUAAUUUAACCUAAAGGAUGCUAAAUGAGAAUUCCGCUAAAAAUAUCCAUGAAAGCAUAAAAUCGAGAAAUCAAGCCUGAAAGCAUCCAUUUCAUCUAAAAUUGUUGCUUGACAGUCUUUAUCAACUUAUUUCAGCUAGAAGAAAGGAUGAGAGCACCGAGCAAGCACAGACAGAGAAACACAAACUAUACAAAAGAUUUCAAAGAAAAUAAAAGCGUUAAAUUUCGAACAACUUUACCUCUAAGAUUGUUGGAUUAGUACACCUUAGGAAUCCCAAAAAGGCAGUCCUUAAGGAAUACUGAACACUGGCAGCAUGGCAUCCCCUUCCUGUCUCAAAGUUUGGAUUGAAGUCAAGCAGUGCAGAAAGAAUUGUAUUAUGGUGAAGAGGCCUUUUCCUUCCUAUAGCUGCAAGACUACCAAACAAAUAGAAAAAUUGUUAGAUAUAAUUUAACAAAAAUAAUCAUAAUAGUUACACUAGCAAGGCAGAGAAAUUGACAUUGCAAGCAGUACAACUCGAUGUAAGUGUGAAAUGACAAACAAAACAUUAAGAUAUAAUAAGGAAAUGAAAGAAGAACCAAAAUGAUCUAAAACAACUUCCUAAAAUUUAAUUGUCAUCUUCAUUAUCAUCAUCAUCAUAGGCCCCACCAUCUUUGGAACCAAUUCCUUCCAACACCUCCAACAACUUCUCACCGUUGUAACUGCCACGACCAUCACUACCCUCAUCAACUUACUACCAAAAUAACAAUCUCAAUAGUAGUAAUUCCAAUACAGUAGAGGUUUCCGUAACUCAGCAGAUUUACGCAUUCCUUUUACAUAUCUUCACACAAGAUAUAGUAUAGCUUCUGAUGAGUUAAGAAAUAGCUAAACAUAAAAGGUUUUAAUGAGAUUCACAAAUGAGCAAACAAGUCAGUCGUGUCUUACAAGAUAUUCUUCUCUCCAUUUCACAAUUAUUUAAGUCCGUCAAAAGCCCAACAAAAAAUCCUUGUAUUGACAUGAAGCUAUGGGCAAGUUAUUCUAGGCAUUUUAUAAAUACGCUAAUCUAUCUUGCAGCUCAACUCUGUCUGCCUGCAGCAGAAAACCAUACCCAUAAGACUACAGCAACCUUUAUUGGAAUUGCUAUCUGGAAUUCUUUUAUUUGGACUUCUAUCCUAAUAUAAAAGGCAAAUAACUUAUAGGAAAAGAACAAUGCAUGUAACAAGCUAAACACAAACUUCCUUAAAAUUCUAUGAUUUUCUGUAACAGUAUGGGUGAAAAUAAGAAAUCAAUGGCACUUUGACCUGGUAUGCACAACUACAAGGCAUGACACUGUUUAUUGUUUACAUUUCAGCAUGAAUUUUCAGAGAUAUUGAGACAAUAUCUGCUUGAAAAUGAUCUGUUGACAGUCAUAUCUUUGGUAAAUAAGUUUUCCCAGUCUUCUUUACAAAAUAUAGGAUGGACUUUACACUAUUUCCUCUUUUUGACGGGAAACAAAUGAUUGAAGAGCAAAAAUGGACCAAAGGUCCACAAAUAAAAAUAUUCCCAACUGUCAAGAUAACCCAAAACUACAUAAGUUAAAUCUCUAUAUAAAGGAUAGCCCUUAAUCAUGAAACAAAGAUGGAAAGGAAAAACCCCAGAUAACCCAAACUAACCAAAGGCAAUAUCACAAUCCUCAUUAAACAAAGCCAAUUUAAUAAUAAACAAAUCCUGUCCUUAAACCACCAGGAUAUUCCUCUUUUUCCUCUACAAAAAAGCAACUAUUUCUUCUCAAAUCACCCACAAGAAAGCUAGGACUCCAAACUUCCACAAAGCAUGCACUUUAUCAUGUAAUCAAAUCAUAUUCAAUCAACAUUACAAUGAACUCUUAAUAAAAUUACCCAAAAAAAAAAAAUUCUUCUUGUCCCCUUUAAUUCCUGACAAAAUCAACAUCAAUAUCAAAAUCACCAACAAAUCCCAUCUCCUCAAGUUGCUACGUAUCCACACAGAAACAAAGUAAAAUCUCAAAUCUCAUGACAACAUAAUGUUUUCGGUAGUUCAUUCACAUACUUUCUAUAUAUCCAUCAGUAGCUUAUGUUAACCAGCUCGACAUACACAAAAAUGAAAUCUGAAAUAACAAAAUGCUCAAAACCCUAGCAUGACACAAAUAUUUACAUUGCUAUCUCAAGAAAUAAUAAGUUAACAAUUUCAGCUUAACAGAUAUGAUAACUAAAAGGCCAUCUUAACAAAAUUUUCAGAGCAUAAUUCAGUUUAGAACAUUCUUCACAAAUUGCAAAUCCUGUGCAGCAGACUUUCUGCAUCUACUCUCAUUUACAAAUCUCUUAUUGGUAAAACAUACAAUAUAACUUCAAGGAUCAAGAAAUUCAGCCACAGUCCAUGACAACAUAAACAGCCUGUAUAGCAAUUCUGUUAAUUGCUAGAUCAAAGAUUUCCUGAUGACAGUUAAAAUUAAUGAUAAAGACAGCUGUAAUAAUGUGACUGUGGACUUUAUCUUUCAAAACAAAGAAAAUCAAGGACUUGAAUACUAAUCAUGAUACAAAACAAAUUUAUCAAAAAUAUUUCUUUCAACAUAACUUAACAAUUGCUUCUACUUAAAUAUAAAGGCAGUAAAUGGAUUGUCCAAACAGUUAAGCUCUACUGGAUGAGCAACAACUCCCACAAUCAUGUUUAAAUUGCUUUACCUGAAAUGUUAAUGUGUAAGACUCACAGUGAGGACUUUAAACAAAGUAUUGAUUUGAGUAAUUUCCAAUGUUUCUUAUAUGCCUUUAUCAGAUAUCAACUGCCUGAUAUAAGGCUAUGAUUGACUUGGCCACUUGACCUGUUUUUACAUGGUGCUUCCUUUCAGGUCAAGAGUUGAUGACUUUGUGGUAGAAUCCUUAUUUCCAAAAGUACCAAAUUGAUCACAUGCGAAGGGAGAACUAGCAGAACAAAAAUGUAUCUUGUUAUUCCAUACCUCAAAAGUUCGUGAAGCAUAACCUUUUAUUAUGUUGAUUGUGAAGUCAAAAUAUGAAAUAAGCAAAAGCAAAAGUGAUUGAACAUUGGGAACCACAACAAAUAAAGAAGAGUAGAAUUAGCAGGGAAAUUCCCAGUUAAAUAGAACUUUUAAUUAUUAGAGGUAUUUAAUGUGCAUCAACUGCUAUGAUGUAAUUGAUACAUUUUAAAAUAGCUCACGGAUAAUUAGCUGUACACACAAAUAUCAUAAACUCAAACAAUAGUUAAAUGGUAUAACAGUUAACAAAGCAUAAACUUUGUUGCUUGACCAGCAAGUUUCUCUCAGAACAAGUUGACCAAGUUAUCCACCGCUUUAACCAUUAUAUCACUGGAUAAUGCUGCUCCUUAGGACCAUAAAAGUCGACCCUGUUUAGCCCUGAAACUCCCAAAAUCUGAACCACCAUGCAGCAGUAUCCAAGGCCAUCAACUCCUCAAAAGAGAGCAGAUCAGCAUGCUGCUAUGAUAUCAGAAACAAGCAGUUGAACUUGUACUACAACCUGUUUCCAAGCUUCAGAGAUCCCUCCAAAAUUCUCAAAAAUUAAAACUGAGGGCAAAAUGCAGUUUACUCCCUACACAAACUAUUAAGGCUACCAAUACAAAUUAAUGGAUCAGUAACAAUUGAAAGUCUCACAUUUGCAUGACAGACUGCAAUUAAAUAUUCAUACUUGACUGUAUGUCCCUAGGAUUACUAUUAUCUAAAUUACCUUCCUGCAAGGAUGAAUUUCAAAUCCACCAGAGCAUUGUACAUUCAGAGUUCAAUAAAGAAAAAAAAUACAUACAAUUAAGCUGCAAGUAGACACAGCAUAUUAUCAACGCGAAGAAAACAGGACUCUUAUGCAACUAUUUAUAUACAUAUUAUGAUUAUUGAAGUAGGAAAUUUGGCAUACAUAUCAGUGAGUACACCUCAUUGUCAUAAAGCAAAGGCACCCUAGAGUAACCUUGUAAAACCACUACUCUGCACUGGUUCAUACAAAUUACUGAACUUCCUAAAACUACUAAAAAUAAUAAUAAUAAAGACAACUUAUUUUGUACUUGUAAUUCACCAUAAGUACACAACUAUAUAUAUAUGCAUGUACACCCCUGCCUUUAAAAAACGUUUUUCUCUUUCUCUUUUUAAUUUUUUCCCCCUUUUCGUAUGAGAAACAGGAAACAAUUUCAUUAAUGAAGAGGAAAAAUGACAAAGGAGAUGAAUCACUAGAACAUCCAAAAUAUGGGUGCGUGCCCAUUUGUGUGCACAACAUAUAGAAGUGCAAUAAAAUGAUAUAACUAGAGGCACUAUUCAAUUUAUUAGUCCUAGCAACUUCAAUAUUGAUACCCAAUACACGGCCAAAUUCACCCAGCAGAAAAGAUACAAGGGAACAAAAUUCAGAUGCUGGCACCCGUUUCAAGUAUAAUGAAGGUAUCUUCUUUUUGAACGAAAAAUUUAUUUUCCAACUGCAUUCAUGUAUAACCAAUGAAUUAACAGGUGCGACUUUAAAUUUUUUAUAAAUUGAUUAACUUACUAGUAUCAACCAGAAUCCAAAUAGGAAAGUCCAAAAAAUAACUUUUCUUUCAUCUCUAGACUUUACAAAGCAAAGAUAUAGCUGCCACAACCCUAGUGCACAGGUAGUAUACUAGAGCCACACUUAGGGCAUCCCUUAAAUUGAUCGGUUUAUUAAGAGAGAAGGUGACAAUAUGACCACUAAUAAGACAAAUCUACAACUCUUAAUAAUAUAACCCUCUAUAUGAGACCGGCAACCAAAAACCGGAAGGCCACAAGAGCUAUGGCUACAGUUUCAGCAAAGCUUGAUAUAAUCCACUAAUAUUUCCACCAUUCCUUAAGAAUCAAUGCCUAUGGUGGAAUAACAGCAGGCAAUAGAGGGUUGCUCUUAAUUAAACAGAGAUCAGAAUCUUGAUGAAAUCUUACUGAUCUAACCCACAAGCAGCAAAAUAUAAAUUCAAACCACAACAAAUACAGUCUAAAAUUUUUUGAGUGAGCGAGCAAGAGAGAGAACUCCUAUCAGCAACAGACAUGAACCCAAGUCAUCUGCAUAAGCAAGAUACUUCAAUCAAAGAAUAUAACCCACCACUAAGUAACAAAAUCUGUUCUCAACUAAAAGUUUAUGAAUCACAAACACAGAGACAGGCAGGAUGAAACCACAGAAUGCAAGCUCACAAUUAACUUAUUCAUUUAUUUAUAUUUUUUAAUUAACUGUUUGAACUGUAAGUACUUGCAUCAUAUUUAUAGAUGAGGUUUGGCAUACCAAAGUUUAUACAUACACAUAUGUACAUAUUAUGUAUGUAUGUAUAUUAAUGAUCUUCUUAAGUAUACUAUCCUCAUGGUUGAUAUUUUUCUAUAUCAUCUAUCCGAGAUGACAUAUGUUGGAAACGGAAGAGGGGGAGUGGGGAACCAGCUGGCCACUAGACCAUGCAAAAUGAGAAAUUAACAGGUAAAAUUGACAAAAAUCUGUAAAUGAGUAGACGAUAAUAAUUGACAAAUGAUAAGAGAAAACUCACCAAUUGACAACAGUAAUAAUCACUGAACCAGGGAGAUUACAAGCUGAUUGCAACAAAUCCAUUAAGGUGCCAAGCAUUCUAUUUGCUUCUGACGUGAGUGAAACUGGAUCUAGGAAAGGAUGUCCUCCCGACAGCCAUGAUAUAUUAAAAGUUUGUUUACUUCCUAUUGUAGAUAAAGUCAGAACAGUAUCCAAAGAAUUGAAUACAAAUCAGAUUGUGUAAAGAUUAAAGAGUAAAGGCAACUCCAUAACUCAAAAGUACUUCAAGUAAAUGGCCAUUACAAACAAGAAAGCAAUACCUUCCUUGGUAAAAUUUUCAAAAUCAUUUGAGUCAGACGUAAAAAGUAAAACAUGUGUUUCCAAAAAUUUCAGUGCCAACAACUUCGUGCCAACUAAACCAGGCUGCAUUAUCAAGAAAAGAAUAAAAUUAGCAGAAUGUGUGAAACUAAUAACAGGGAGGGAAAAUCAAUUUAGUUAAAAUUACAAGAACUUUUGAUGUUUAUCUAGUGGCACAUGUAACAGGAGGCAGAGAACAAGUGCGAUGCAAGUGAAAACUAUAAUCACACUCAAGCACUGACUUUAACUAAAAUCAUUAGAAAAGAAAAGAAGGAAAUUAUACACAAAAAUUGAUAGAAGAAUUUACGCAGAUGCUAGAGGGAAAGGCAAUGAUAUCAACUAUGAUUUCCUUUGCAACACAAACACACAUACACAUACAUAGAUCGAUAUCCCCUUCCCACCUCCAUCCAAGUGGCAGACAAAAAGAAAGUCCAUGUGGGCCCAAGUGGCCAAAGGGAACAGAAAUAUAGGCCAAUGAAUCACUGAUUUAAAUAAUUAAGUUCCAAUAUCGUGUUAAAUCUUAAAAAUUUCAAUCAGCAUUUUGUAAUAAUUCAACAAAAGAGGAGAAUUACUCCAUACCUCCAAUGCAAUUGCAAAGACAGCAUCUUUGAACCUAACCAUCCAUGUCCAAAGUUCUUCAAGCCACCGCUCAACUUUACCGUGCCAGCGAAACUAAAAUUUUCCAAAAUAAGCAUUAGAGUUGCAUAAUUUCAUUAUUUUUUAUAAGAAUAUAACUCAGCGUUACAGUUGCAUAAUUUACUAAAAAUAGGAACCAAUCCAUAAUUUGUAAAAUUUAUUUACACAUGCAAAUAAGCUGCAUACACGCUUUCUGUAUUUUGAUUCCCAUUUUUCUUUUAUAUUAUUAUUAUUUUCCAUGCUAUAAUUUUGUUACAUUCCCAUUUGGUAACAAAUUUAUUUUAAUACAGUAGUUGAAAGUUGAUCCUUACACACACCCCUGCAUAAUAAGAAAGAGAAACAAGCACAAAAUGAAGCAAGAGAAUCUUAAACCAACUAAACAUAUUAUAGACCUUGCACUUGACAUCAACAAAUUUAUUCAUCAAGCUAAUGAAGAAAACUAAAUUAUUUUCAUGGUCGUUACUCAGACAUACUUAAAAUCAACUUAGAAGCAUAAAACCUAUGUAAGAUUCAUUAAUACGACAUAGAAAAUCUACAAUAUUUCAAGCUUCAAUAACUCUAAACACAUUGUGUUAAAAGAUGAAUUCCAACUAGCAAAUGGCAAAAUUGAUGUUUAGAAUAUUAACCAUUCCCGCUUAAGAAGUGUCUCUCCAAAGAAGGAUGUAGACAGAGAAGGUGAAAUACCUGCAUUGUUAUCUCUUCUAGAACACGGCAAAAGAAAUUUGUGCCACAAACAAUAGAUUUCCCUGCAACACCAGAGUCGCCAUCCCUCAAAAAUGCCAAUAAGACAGGCAUGAGUAUAGAAGAAUGCUCCAUCGCUUUCAAACCAAUAUCUUCAAUAGUCCUGACAGCCACAUGUUAUGGACCACAAAUGAACACAAGUUAUUAGACAAGGGCAGUAGCACUUGUAGCAAACAACCUGGGAUAUUUACCACAAUAAACAUUGGAUACCUCAUAAAUAGAGCCCACAUUUCUUAAAGAAUGGUGAUUAUGAAGGGAAGAUCAGUCAAUGUCAGAACCAUGCCAAUAUAGACAUGUCCACUGUUUAAGACACGCAUGAAAAAACAAAAGAAAGCAAGAAUAACAGUUCUGUUACAUGAUGAUUAGACUAUAAAACAGAACAUUAUGCAUAGAACCAUGUUUUCAAAGUGUCAUGAAAACACUCCAGCAUAUCUCCCUGAGAGGAAGACAUUGCAAAGGAAACAUACCUAAUUUAAUCUUUUUUCUUUAAAUUUAAUUGAAUUAUGACUAUUUGCUGUGAUCGAAUCAAGAAAGUAGUGCCCAUUCUAGUAAAAUUUAAUCAUCAGAAUCCAAGAAAUUCUUAGUACUUAUGAAUAGUUUUACUAAAAUUACCAAAUUUUUACACCUUUUACUCAGCAAUGCAUUUAACCUAUGAUUCAAUUCACUAGCUAGAUUAAUAUUCAGAAUAUGCCACGCACAACAGAACCCACUGUUAAGAAAAGGCCAAGACAAACAGAUAAAGAUGUCCUUGUAAGCAUAGAACGAGUCUUUCCACAUUAAAUUUAACAAUGUAUGGCAAAAAACGACUAAAUAAGUGUAAAAGCAAAAUAGAAGAAGAAACAAAUAACCAAACAAGAAAGCAAAUUAGGGUUUUGGAACUCACUCGAUUAGCGAUUUUCGAACGAGACUUUCGGGAGAAGACUGGAGCUCGACCAAGUAAGGGAAGAGUUCAGCCGCCAAAGACGGGUCAGCGGAUGAUAAAAUACCUCUCACCUGCUUCAAGGAAGAGAGCUUUACAGCCAAAUCGCCAUGGUUGUUGGCGGCGGCGAGGAGCGAGAGUGCUUGGUCCCUGGACACAGCGGCCAUUUUGUGUGAUUGGUGGUUAGGGUUUUGAAUCCAAGUGUAAGGGUUUUAUUGGAUUGAGCAUAUGGAAUUGGAGGUUAAACUGAGUAAUGGAUGGAACAAAGAUUUUUAAAAAAUUAUAAGGUUUGUGUUUCUCGGAGUGAGCGAGCGAGCGAGCGCGUCAGUUAUGCAGAUGGGACGGGUUCGAAAAUGUGGGCUUUGUGAUUUUGGACGAGGUGAAAGGUGCCGAUGACAAAUUGACAAUCCUCCGCUUCAUUUACUGGUUCAAUUUAUCAUUUUAAAAACACAGUUAUAAUUAAUAUUUUUAUGUGUAAACUUAUAAUUUUAUUUAUUUAUUUAUUUUUGUGAAAAACUAUCUCUGUUACGAAGAUUCGUUUUUAUAAAUCAUCACGAGUGUAUCUUUUUUAUUUUUUGCUAGAGGAUAACGUGAAAAGGGAUUUAUGAACUUUUAUCUUCAUAUAUGAGAUUUUAAAUAUUAUAAUUCUCCAUUAAACUUUAGCCCUCACCUUCUAUUAUUUCUUGAACUCAAAUGAGUGUGAGCAUAAAGUUCAUUUACAAGCAAUUGAGCUAUUCAGACUUAGGCUAAUUUGGAAUUGUAGUAAUUAAUUAAAUAAAUUGUUUCUAUUAUGAUGAUGAAAUAAACUACUGAUUAAAAAAGUAAUUUGAUUUUCAGUAAAAUGUGUUGUUGUCAUUAUUGUGAAUUUUAAAAGAAUAAUAUAUGUGUUUGGUAAAUUUAAUUACGAAAAUAUUAUUUUAUUAUAUAAUGACUAAAAUUAAAUUACCUUUUUAUUUUUUAUAACACGUUUAAUAAAUUAUUUAAACAUGCCUUUUCAUUUAAAACACCAAAGAUUACAUGAUUAAAAAAAACUCAAUUAAACAAAAUAUAAUGAACUUUAUAAUAUAUUGUAUAAAAUAUGGUAAAAAUUCAUAUUAAUACAUAAUUCAGGUAAAAUAAAAGGUAAUAUGCAAUACAUUCACAUUAAACUUGUUGUAUUGUGAUAUAGAGCUAUUAGUAUUAUGAUACUCUUUUUAAGCGUCAUUGUCUCCUUCUAUUUUAUCAUUAAAAAUUGAACUAGGAUUAUUUUUAAUAUUGUCAAAGUGAAGAUCAUGUUGUGUAUGCCUCCUUAUAUAAUUAUGCAAUGCCAUGGUUGUAAUUACAUACUUGUUAUUAAGGUAAAUUGAAUGUCGUGGUAAUAUUAUAUGAUGGUUUAUAUAUUAUAGUUGUCAAAAAUGAAGGUUAUUACAUAAACUUUAAAAAUGUGUGGUAUCUUAUUUAAUAAGCUGCUCUAAAAAAUAAUCUCGACCUGCAAUUAAAAGGUGGUGUCAAAAUUGAGAAACGUAUGAAAUAACAAAUUUUAAAAAAAUUAUUAAAUACUAUUUUUGUCCAACUUAUCAAAUGAGCAACUUAUUGAGUUUCAAUUUUUUUAUCAAACGGGGCAUUAGAGUUUUUUCAGUUAUUGUCAGUCAUGUUUGUCUAUAAAAUAUUAGAACAAAUAACAAUAUAGAAGUUCUUUCAAAUAAAUAAAAAAUAAUAUCAUUUAUUUUCACUUGAUUUGAUAAUACUAGCUGAUAAGAAAAAAUAUAUAUAUGUGUAAGCUUGUUAAAAAUGAUGCUAUUUAAAUUAAAUAUUCCAACAAAAUAAGUAUAGGAUUAUCAAAUUGUUAAUUAAAAAAUUGAGUUAGAGUUUGCAGAAAAUUAUUUAAUUUAUUUAAAUUAAUUUCUAUUGAGUUGAUAACGGACCUAAUUUAUUUUUUAUUGUAUUAAAAUAAGUUAAUUAACUUUAAAAGAAAAUAAUAAACAAAAAACAAUCUAAUGCAAAAAUUAUAUGGAAGGUAUCAUGAAUGGCAAUAACUCGAGCCGACCCUCGGUAUGGCAGUGCCCGAAUCCCUCCAGGCAUGUUUUUUAACAUCAGAGCUGGGUUUUUUAGUCUGUAUUUAUAAAAACAAGUUUUAUAUUUUAUAAUAUUAUAUAUGAAUAUUUUUUAAUUUGUUUUAAAAUUUAUGAUUUUUAUUUUGUUUCAAUAAAAUUGAGCUUAAAAAUAUAUGAAUUUUAAAUAUUUAAAGUUUUAAACAUGUAUAAUAGAUGGGCUAAAUAAAUAUAAUUAUGUUUUAUAAUUUUUUAAUAAAAUUUAGGUUUUGGACUGACUUCAAACUUAUCAAGUGAAGUCCGGAGCUUAACACGGAUCCUGAAUUAUUUCAAAAAAUAUUAUAAAAUAUAAAUAACUUUUUAUAAUUAUAUUCGGUCUGGUUUCAGACCGAGCUGAUAUUGUUAACAUCCCUAAAAAGGAAAAUAAAUAGACAUCAGCAUUCAGCAGUAUCCGUGCAUGUCCAUUGUUUUAAACCGGAAUCUAUCUAAAGUUCGUGAAGGCCAAGGGCAAAGACUAAUGAGUAGGAAUGACUGACAUGAUGGCUAGUAAUUAUUUCCAUAAUUUGGCUAGAAUUAAUAAUACUCCAUGUACAGAACAAAGGAAAUAAAAAUCUGCAAUUUUUUUUUUUUUUUGUUGUGGGUCUGCCUCUGCCACUAUCAAAGUGAAAAAUCGGUCUUUUCCAUGCGAGAUUCACCAUAUUAUUAAUAGCAGUAUCAUAAUUCAAGUUGCGCACCUUAUCCAACAGUGAUUAUAUACAUCAUUCAAAUCUGAAAAUGGACUUAGACAAGUGAAAUGAAACCUACUAAGAAUAUGAAUUACUAUGAUUAAUCUUCAACAUAAUGAGCUGCUUGCAUUAGUCUUGUCUGGGUUCAGUUGUGAUCCAAUGUAAGUAUGUGGAAUGUGAGCUACUUUCGGCCAAUCCUCACCAACAUAUUUCUUGCAGCGACUUUCAAGCCUUGGACAUUCCCUGAUAGACAGAUGCUGGAGAGUUGUGAGAUGUUGCAGGUUUGCUGGCAGUGAAAUGAUGGUAUGACAGUCAGAUAUGGUUAAAGAUGUAAGAGAAGAAAGGUUCCCAAUCCAUUCAGGCAAGUCUUUGAAAGCAGGACAGCUAUGGAUUUCCAAGCUUUGCAGUGUUGUGACAUGUUGUAGCUCCUCCGGCAGAGAUGCCAGCCUUGGACAGCUCAAAAUACACAAACUCUUUAGCAUGGUGAGGUUUCUGAAGUUUUCAGGAAGAAAGGCCAAGCUUGGGCAAUACAUUAUUGUUAAAUGCUCCAGAGCUAUGAGAUGUCCCAGCCCUCUCGGAAUGUAUGAUAAGUUCUCACAGUUCUCAAUAGACAGUGAUCGAAGUGAAGUCAAACCUUCAAUACCUUCUGGCAAGACUGUAAGGCUGUGGCACUCACUGAUCUCCAAAGAUUCCAACAAGGAGAGAUUUUGAAUUUCUUGGGGCAAAGCGAUGAGUUCCUGGCACCAGCGAAUUGUUAAUGAUUUAAGAGCAACCAGGCAUCCUAACUUCGAGGAUAUGGAGCGAAGGUUGGGACAUGAGCUAAUUGUCAGAGAUGUGAGACAAGGAUUAUUUUCGAGCAAUCUCUCAAAAAUAACCAAUUGUCCUGUGAAGCCAUCAAUUAGAAGGGUUAAGAGUGUGGAAAAGUUUGUAGCUGAUUUCAUUAUCAUUUCAUUGCAGUUUCGGAACUCCAGAUGCUGAAGAGAUGGAAACCAUGGCAUGUUUUUCAAUCUUUCACACUUGUUGAUGAACAACUUGACUAGGGAAGGAAAUUCUUCUUUUGUGUUCAAGCUCCACCAGAAUUCCAAAUUGGGGAAGUCUACCAAGGAUAGCUCUUGCAAUGACUGGAAUGGUCUUCCUGAGCCUCUACCGUAGAACCUACUAUUAAUACUCUUUACUGAAUGCAUUCCAUGCAUGUAAAUGACCCUCAAGAAAGGAAGUUGGCCCAAUGCAGGGAGAUUCUCACAUCUUUUGCAGUUAAUCAACACUAUAUUAGUUAGAUUUGGGAGUCCAGGAAAGCCAAUCCAUGUGGGAAAACGGUCACCUGAGUACCCUUCAACAGACAAUCUUUUCAGAUUUUGGUGAGGUUGUAGGCUAUCGAGCACUUCUUCUGCCUGUCUGUUUCUGUCAUCAGUUUCCUUCGUCAAAGCAUCAUGAUUAUUUCUCCAUGAUAGGCCUAGUGAAUGAAGCUUUGGCUUUCUUCUGAGGCUUGCAGAUGCUGCAUCACUUCCCGGUUUUACAUUUUCCAAUUUUCUAAUGUUUAGCUCACCUGCCAGUGGCAGUGAGUGCAGUUGCUUGAGCCCUUGGGAGAUUUCAGUGCCUACAAUGAAUACUGGCAAUGUUUGCAGCUGAAUUAAUCUUCCAAUAUGAUCUGGAAACUGAGACAGUCUACAACAACCAUAUAUCAUCAAAUGCCUUAGUUGGAAUAUGGAUGCUAAUCUCCUAGGUAGUUCAAUUAGAUCAUGGCAGUCUGAGAGGUUCAACACCUGCAGAUAAACAAGGUCACAAAUGCUUUCGGGUAAUCUCUCAAUGAGGGUGUUUGAGAUGUUGAGAUACCUCAAAGAUAUCAAGCAGGAUAUUGAGCUGUGGAGCUUUUUAAUGCCACUGCCACUCAAAUUUAAGGUACGCAAAUAUCUGAAACUUGAAAACAAUUUGGGAGGGGCCUCUCCUAGGUCACCUUUAGAAAACAGCAGAUUAAGGGUUCGUAACUUCUUUGCUUCAUACAAGGAUUCUGGAAUAGUCUGCAAAUCAGAAUCACACACCACAGAUGAGUGACGAGUUUGAGCUAGAUGUCUCGGUAUAUGGCCAUGUUCCAGUACAACAAAUUCACCUCCAACAACAGAUUGUGCAAGAUCAUGAAUAAGAUCAUGCAUCUUGCAAUCUAACACAUUACCAUCACUAUCUUUAUUCACAUCUUGGAAAAAGGACAUCCACGUCAAGUCAUUGAAGUAGUCAUUGGCUAUAUCCUCAAGUGUUUUUCUUUCAUCCUUUGACCGUAUUAAUCCUUCUGCAAUCCAGAGAUGAGUUAAAUUGUCCUUCUUGAUCACAAAAUUUUUAGGAAAUACUGAGCAGAAUGUGAAACAACAUUUCAGAUGUGAUGGCAAAUGACUGUAACUCAGCCUCAAGGCCGGUAGUAUUCUAUUCUCACCUUCACAUGCAUUCCAAAGAUCACUCUCCUGAACAUAUAACCAAUCACCUUCCUCUCUCUUGAAGCGCAUGAGACUUCCCAAUGCUUUUGCUGCUAACGGUAUGCCUCCACACUUCUUCACAAUUUCUUUUCCAACAGGCAGAAAAUUUAAAUAUUCCUCCCCAGGAGCAAAAGCUCUUUGCUUGAACAAUGUCCAGCAAUCAUCGUGAGAUAAACCCUUCAAAUAAUAAGGAGGAAUUGUCCCCACUAUCGUAGCAACCUUCGCACUGCGAGUAGUGACUAUGACAUGGCUUCCUUCAGCUCCAUCACUUAAAGAAACCCUUAAUUUAUCCCAUUCCUCAUGGUCUUCGUUCCAGACAUCAUCCAAGACAAGCAAGUAUCUUCUCCCACGCAAUAAGCGUCGAAGCUGAGACUGAAGAACAUCCAUGCCUAAGAAAUCACACUUACUAAGUGUCACAGAUUCUAUAAUCAAUUUCAUGAUCUUCCUCACAUUGAAGUCUUCAUUAACACAAACCCAUAUCUUCAAUUCAAAACUCUUUGUCACCUUUUCAUCAUUAUAAGCAAGUUGAGCAAGGGUAGUCUUACCAAUGCCACCUAAACCGACAAUGGGAAUAACCAAUAUCUUUCUACCGAACCCACUUGCCCCAUUUGAUGCUAAAAGAUCUAUCAUGGCUUCCUUAUCUUCCUCUCUUCCAACAACUUCAGAUUCAAUUACAAAAGACCCGGUUUGUCUCCUACUUUCAACAUCAGACCCUAUUUUAACAACCCCCUCCUUCAAGCUCCUUUCAGCAGCCAAAACAUCUAAUCGUUUUCUAAUUUCUCUUAGUUUUGGAAACAAUUCAAGAUAAACUGCAACUGGUUUGAAAGAAGGAAGGAAGUCCCUAAGUACCUUGUGAUAGUAAAAUCCUUGUGUUCUAGCUGUUAUGGCAUCCAAGCAGAACUCAUCAAGUAAAUUGUCCACAUCAUAAGCGACCUCUUUAAGGUCUGCCAACCAAAUUUUCAAGGCUUUCUCCCUUACUUGUCGCUCUUCUGCAUCUUCAACAACUGCCCGAAUGAGGUUUAUCGUGUGCCGAAGUUUGUCGAUCUCCUCCUCGUAGCCAAAUUUAAGUGCAAUACUUUUCAGAAGCCCAGAAGCUACUUUGUCAAAAAUCACUUGCAGUAGUGGGCACAAAACAAUCUCCGCCAUUUGCAGAAUUUCAAGCGAACAAGAAGAAAAUUUUGUUUGGAUCAGCUGUGUUAAUUAUUGAACAAAGCAAUUUCACUACUUCUCGACUUGAAGAGACGAAAAUGAAAGAUGGUUAUUUUGUUUGAAUUAGUCAAGAAUAAGUCAGCUUAUUUGAAUUAGAAAGUCAAAGACGGUUAGUAGAGUAGCCACGCUGUUAGCCACUUUGCUGAUUUUUCUACUUAAUUCUUCCUAGUUUUCUUCAUGGCAGUUGUAUUGCACCCGUAUAUAAACAUUCUUUGACAUGAAUAAAAGGGUAUCAAGCAAAUUUAUUCAUUUUUUUUAAUUACACAAGAUUAAUAUUCAGAUUACAACUCAUAUUAUAUAAGAUUUACAAUUAAUAUUUACAAUAAAAUAAUUAUUGAGAUUAAUUUACAUUAAUUCUUAUAUAAUACUGCUCAAAUUUUACCCUAAUAAAUAUUUGAGGGUAUUUAAUCCACUCAUAUUUCGAAAGGAAGAAUAAUGUUUGCACUUAAUUAUAUCAUAAUUAAGGAAUGAAAUAAACUCAUACACGCAUUGCGGGGCUUGAACCGCUGAUUCACUUUUAAUUGAGCAAUUGGAGGUGCUAACCCCUCGAAGAGUUAGUAAAUUGUGUUUGAGUCUUAUUUUUCCUUAAACAAAUAACUGUGUGAAUUUUUGGCCCAGUGGUUACAAUUUAUUCACUUUUUAUUGAGCAAUUGGAGGUGUUAACCGCUCGAAGAGUUAGCAAAUUGUGCUUGAGUCUUAUUUUUCCUUAAACAAACAAUGUGUGAGUGACACCAUAUAGCUUAAACUCUGAUUAUUAUGAUGAAUAAUAAUGUUGUGCUGCUGCUUUUACAUUUUAUCUUGAUGCAAUCAGGGGCACUCUCGUCGUUACAGAAGAAAAACCGAUUCUGUAAUUCCAACUAUACCCCCACUUUGCGCCACAUGUCGCAGCAGCAUUUUCCUGGAAGAUGAGGGGAAAAGCGCCAUUAGCAGUUCAACUAUACAAAUAAACAAACGAUCUAUCAAUCGGAAUUCACAAUUGGCAAAAUCUAGGGUUAGGGUUAGCAAAGAUGGAGGGAUGGGACCCGAACACGAAAUCGACGCUGACCCAGAUCCCGCUUUUGUCAACGAAAGCCGGUCCCAGAGACGGUGCGGCGUGGACGCAGCGGCUUAAAGAGGAGUACAAGGCUUUGAUCGCCUAUACACAGAUGAAUAAGUCCAACGACAACGAUUGGUUUCGCAUCUCAGCGGCCAAUCCGGAGGGGACACGUUGGACAGGCAAGUGCUGGUACGUUCACAACCUCUUAAAGUACGAAUUCGAUCUCCAGUUUGAUAUUCCGGUUACGUACCCCGCCACGGCCCCCGAGCUUGAGCUCCCCCAACUCGAUGGCAAGACCCAGAAGGUUUGAUGAUUCUUUCUUUACCCAUUUCCCCCGAAUUUUUAAUUGUUUUUAAUUGUUUAUAUUUUGUUUUUGUGGCGUUUUUAGAUGUACAGAGGAGGGAAGAUUUGCUUGACCGUACAUUUCAAGCCACUUUGGGCUAAAAACUGGUACUUUUGCUUUACAUUUGUUGAUUAUUUUGUGUAUUUUCGGUUUUGAUUGAGUUGACAAUGGAAUUUGUAAUUUCUGUGAUAUGCUUUUGGCUGUUCAGAAAUUUAUCAAAUGAAAAAUGAAAUUAAAAUUUUCAAUUGUGGGUGGUAUUGUUAUGGGAGCAGUGUAAGUAUUUGCAGAAUUGUGUUACGAAACAUCACCAGUUUUGUUAUCAUUUUUUGGUUUUCUGGCAAACUGUUCCCCUGUUUUAAUUUUAGAUCAUCUCAGCUUCUUCUGAGUUAAAGGAAUUUUAUGUGGGAAAGAGGUUGGAGGUCAGGAAGGUUUGAGUGCUGUUGGAAGUUGUAAACUCAAGUUCUAAUUUGAUGGCCAAAUAGGAAAAGGGGAAUCAUUUUCACCAAUUUUUUUGAAGAUUCUUAUAUCUGCUCAAAUUGUUUUCUUUUUUGGCAUUAACAUUCUCAAUAACCAAGCUAUUCUUCUUGUGCCGUUGUUUCACUCAUUUGCAAUGUUAAUUUGAUUUUCAUUUUACAUUUUUCUUUUCUUUUUCAUUUGGGCUUUCUUUACAUAGUAAAAUCAUUAACUUAACUGAUUGGCUUUGUUCUACGUCUUUUCUUGUUGUGUUUUGCCAGUCCUAGGUUUGGUAUAGCACAUGCACUUUGUCUUGGUCUUGCUCCAUGGCUUGCAGCAGAGAUUCCCAUUCUUGUUGAUUCCGGAAUGAUUAAGCACAAAGAUGAUGUGAGCGGAUCUAGUGAGUCUUAGUUAGUUAAUGUAACAUUAAGACUGUAAAAGGAAUGAUGAUUUUUCGAAUUCUUGAUUUGGUCAUAUAAAAUAAGUGCCAAGGCAAGCAAGUGUGCAAUUUACAAGAUGCACUAUUAUGCAUUUUUCUGGAAAAUGUUAAUUACCAUUAUAUUAUUAGUUUUAUAAAUGUAACUUGUACCAUUUUCAGUUUUGAAUACAUUUACGUGAUGAGUUGUCAAACUGUCUCUUUCUACCCCCAAUAUCUUUUUGCAAAUAUUUUGUUUGUGGGUUAUCAAUGACUAAUGAUUUUGACCUACCUUGCAAAAGAUUUGCUCCAUGUUUACUGCUUCUAUUUGAGAAUCAUUUGUAGAGUUUCUGCUGCAAUUGAAAUGCUUUUUUCGAAUUGAAUGCCACUUAAAUGAAUGUAUGGAUCAACCUUCAAGUUUUAUCCUGCACUAUUUAGACAAAUCUAAUUUUUUUGAAAGAUGGAAAACUCUGAUCUAAUAGAAAGCUGGUAAGAGGACUUGAAUUGAUCAUGCUGCCCAAUAUACUAGUAUAGAAUGGUUACGCAGAGCACUCACUGGUUACGAGGAUCCCAGCAAGUGCUCGCCACACGUAUUAUGUUUUUCAUUUAGUUUAGGUGUUUAUGCCUAGCAUGAGAUGUUACUUGCCAUGUAAGAUAAUCAAUCUGAUCUCAUAGCUAAAAAUCCAAAAACUAAAUGAAUCCUUCUUGAGUUGUAGUACGAGUGAAGUAAUAGUAGAAGCUCAACGUAGAGAAGCAUAUGGAGCUUUAUAAAUUUAACAAACAUAUGACUACAUUGCAAAUUAAGUUAUAUCUUAUUUCUUGGUGUCCCAUAGGCACCAGAUCGAUCUUAAAGACUCUGAUUAGAAAAGAGGGCCAGCUGCAAGAAUCUCGUCAGUAAGCUUGUUGUCCUCUCCAAUCUUGUGAUUCACAAAGCCCUCAAAAUUCUUUUUGAAAAGCGUUCCUAGCUUCAAGAGUGUAUCCUUGUAGGCCUUCAUGUCCGACCACUAUAGUUUACAUUUUCACAUCAGUAAAUAGAAAAAGAGAGGCUCAAAUUUUGACAAAGGUUAUGAAAGAUUUUUAAUUAGUGAUUAAAUGAAGGGAAGCGGGCUUACUGUAUUUUCUGGAUCCAGGAUUUCUGAGGGCACUCCCUCUAUCUCAGUUGGGAUCUCAAGCCCAAAAACUGGAGUCUUUGUGUAGCUUGCCUCCAAAAGAGUCCCAGAAUGUAUUGCAUCAAUGAUUCUUCUCGUAAAAGCUAAUUUAAUACGAUUUCCUGACCCAUAGCUGCCAAAGGAUCACAGAGAUUAAAAUUUAACAUCGAAGAAAGUAUGCUUUUAUAUUGCCGAGGGUACAAAUAAUAAGAGCAUCACUUAAGAUAUGAUAUUGUGCUGUAGUUGCAUACCUUCCACCUGACCAGCCAGUGUUAACCAACCAUCCAGUAGCCCCAUGCUUCUGCAUUUUUUCAGCCAGCAUGGCAGCAUACUUUGUAGGGUUUAGCAUUAUAAAUGCGGCACCAAAACAAGCUGAGAAUGUUGCCCGUGGCUCCUUCACACCUUCCUCUGUUCCAGCAACCUGUUUUCCAUCAAGAGGUUGACAUAUUUUAAAUCAACUUUUUUCCGUUUUCCAUAUUUUCUAUCAAAAAAUGUACAUUUUUUCUUUAAAAAAAAAAAUCAAUGACUGUGACGGACAGGUCUCUCUAAAUUACCAGAGCAGUGUAGCCACUGAUGAAGUGGUACAUGGUCUGUUCCAAGCUCAACUUGCUCACAGGUGGGAGUACACCAAAUGCAUCACAAGCCAAAAGGAUUAUAUUCUUUGGAUGAGGGCCAACACAAGGUAUCUUUGCAUUUGGGAUAUACUCUAUGGGAUAUGCGGCACGAGUGUUCUCUGCAGCAGUAAAAUCCCAGUAAGCAUGAUGAUAAGAUUCCAAAUAAUAUGUGAAGUUCAAAACCUUUAUUAACACUGAGAAACAGAGAAUUAAAAGAACAAAAAUAAUUCACGUGAUAUUUAAACAUUCAGAUGAAUGGAUGGAUCUUUCUGCAUAGUUAAACAGGAAGAUGCAUCUUUACCCGUGACAGAUUUGUCCAAGUAGUCCACUUCUCGUGUAUGCUCAUCAAACACAAUGUUUUCUAGCACUGCCACAAACAAACAGCCAAACAAACUCCAAUGAACGUUUAUUCAAGAGUGGAGUCAUUUGUUAAGAAUUUUGUCAUAUCCAAUUGAAAGAAAUAUGGUUAAGAGUCUGUUACCAGUCCCGAAUUUGAUGGCAUUCCAGAUAUCAGGCUCCUUCUCCCUUGAAAGAUCAAUGCAUUUGGCAUAGCACCCGCCUUCAAUGUUUGAUACUCCAUUAUCACUCCAGCAGUGCUCAUCAUCUCCAAUUAAGUACCGGUUAUGAUCAGUAGACAGAGUUGUCUUCCCAGUACCUGAACAAAACCAAAAUAUGAAUAAUAAGAAAUCUCAUCAAUAACAAAACGAAGGGCCAGCUGGGGAAAAUCACAGUCACAUUGUCACAAAUCAGAGGGAAAGUGAUCAAAUGAAAAUGCACCCGAUAGUCCGAAGAAAAGGGCAACAUCCCCAUCUUUUCCCAUAUUGCAGCCAGAGUGGAGGGAGAGGAUUUGACGUUUAGGCAUUAGGUAAUGCAUUAAGCUGAAUAGACCUUUCUUCAUUUCUCCGGCAUACUGGGUGCCAAGAAUGACCAUUUCUUUCCUAGCAAGAUUUAUGUCAAUGCUAGUAGAGGAAGUCAUAUAGUGGGUGUAACGGUUGCAAGGAAACUGCCCAGCAUUGUAUAUUGUGAAGUCCGGAGUACCAAAAUCUUCUAAUUCUUCUGACGUGGGUCGGAUGCACCUGUCACCAGACACCACCCAAAGAAUGCAAAAAAUACAUGUCAAGGGAAAUAAAAAAACUUCCCCCCUUUCUUUCGUGAUCUCUCAAUAGACAGAAAUGAAAUUCGGGUAAUGUUGCAUACAUGUUGUGCAUGAACAAGGAAUGGUAAGCUCUGGCAGAAACAAUUCGGACUUUGAUCCGGUGUUCUGGGUCCCAAUUGAGAAAUUGGUCGUUCACAAAGACCUGAAAUACAGUUUUAGAUAAUUAGAUAUUUCGGCAAUUUCAUGUUCGUGUUAUACUCGUUGAAGAUAAUGUAGCCACUUUUAAGCGUCUAUCUUCACAAACUGGCCCUACGUGAAGGUAGUCCAGCGGGGAAAUUUACCUAUCUAACUAUUUUUUAUAAAAUCAUUAUUAAAAUUAAAUAUUUAAUAAAAUUUCAUAGUAUAAUAGUCACUUAUACUUAUUUUAGACAAAAUUACUCUUAAAAGCAAUAGAGUCAUUCUAUCGUCCGCAAGAUACCAUCGCCCAUGAGAACGGCCACGGUGGACCCUAACACCCAUGUGAAUGGUUCCCAACGCCCUGAUUGGAAUGCUUUGAUUUCUUUCACGCACACUUAACAAUAUAAUUGAGUAUGUUUUGCAUACUUAACAACAAAAUUGAAAUAAUAUUUUCUAAAGCAUUUUAACAAAUACCUAAUGUACUAUAUAUGACACAACCUAAACUUAACAAAAAUAAAUUGAGAAUCAAAAGAAGCAGUUUGCCGUCUAUAAAAGCCACCGUUGUCGAAGGAAGUCACUGAUGAAGCUAGCAAAAUCAUGGAAAGAGAUGGAGGGAUACUCUACUUGUAGAUUUAGAUUUGUUUUGUGUGGUUUUAAGGAUAAUUUAAUUCAAAAUGAGCAUAUCUGGCUAUUAUGAUAAGAAAUUUUAAUUACAUGCUUAAUUAUAAUUUUUUUUUAAAAUAAAAAAAACUAUCGGCCAAGCAAUGCAUGUUGAUGUUGGUUGCAUACGAUAUAACGUGGUGGCUUGGCCUUGUUCAAACCUUGGGAACUGCAGUCUGCAGACCAAGAAAUUUAACGCUCCUAUAUGUGUGUGUACAUGAAAACGGAGUAUAUGAUACCAGCUUUAUCGAAUUUUGUAUAAAUUAGACAACCACAAGCAGUCGUCAAAAAUAGAAAUUAAUGACAAAUUGCUAGCGGGAAGUGCUAAAAAAUAAUUAAAUAAUUAUUAGCCUGGUGAGUCAAAAAUCCCACUUUAAUUUUUGUGAGACUGAUUAAAUAAUUAAAAACGCACCUGCUCCACCAUUUGGCAGAACCUGAUUGGCUGCGCAAGUAACGCCAAUUUCUUAAUUAGCCAGUGUCGCGACGCGCGCGCAAGCAACAGUUUUUUCCACCGUUGAAUUGAGUAUAAAAUGAGCGCAACGAUGCCAAUUUCUUAUAUCUAGGAAAGCUGAUGUAAAUGGAACUGCCAGCAAAUUAACACGUCCUAGUGUCUCCAUACCCCUUUAUUUAUUUAUGGAAAAUGCUACUUUCCCCGGGUCAAAUCCCGGGUCAAACCCCGAAUUAAACAAAAACGACGCCGUUUUAGUUUCUUUUUUUUCCUUUUUGCUUCCAUGAAACGCAGUCGUUCAGCCUAGUGAAAACAGAAAAAACGCAGCUGCUUUUCUUUCUCUUCCUGUUCCUGUUCAUGUUCCUCUUCGAUUCACCACACCCGAGCAAAAGCUUGAACAGCAACAGUGAUGUGUGUGUGUGUGUGUGUGUCAUUUUUCUCAUGCUUAUAGAAGGCAAUAAAGCUGCUCAUUCUGGACUAUUUUGGUGUCCACAAAAUCCGCUUUUGUGCUUCUAAUUAACUUGCUUUCUAUUAUUUAUAAUUCUUUCACUUUCUUUAAAGGUAAAUCUCACCUAGGUUUAUGCUUUUUCUUCUAAAUCUGAAGCCCUAUAAGUCCGUUUGUAGUUUGUAUUGGAGCUGUAAAAUGCAGAGCAAAUUGCAGCACAAAUUGCAGACAAGCAGAGCACAAAUUGUAGCACAAAUUACAGACCAAUUUAGCACGCAUUGCAGCACAAUUUGCAGAAGUCACUUGCACAGCAAUUCAUCAAAAAAUGCAGAGCAAUUGAAAACAAAAUGCAGACAAAUCUGUACACAGUUUCUUUCGGACCAAAAUCUCAUUUUCAUCAUCAUUCAUCCUCAACAGUGGGCAUUAAGCACCCAAAUCAAGUGCGGAAAGGAAAAAUGAAUAUCAAUUGCAAUUUAACACACUUAUUUUCUUAACAUUUUACGUCAACCGAAAAUUAAAUAAAAUGGAAAUGACAAUAGCUAUCAAAAUUCAGCACUUGCAAAGCAAUUAAAUUCAGCACUUGCACUAGAUCAGCUAAAUUGCAACACUAAAGAUCGAAGACGUUUGGGUUUGCUUUUGCCUGGGUCAAACGGCAACGUUUGCUUUCGAUUGAUUGAAACGACUGGUGAAACGAUGAGGAGAAUCGAAGAGGACAAGAAGAUGAAAACGAAGACAUUCGGUUUUGUUUAGCUGAAACGACUACGUUCCAUGGAACCAAAACGGCGUCGUUUUAUUUAAUUCGGGGUUUGACCCGGGGUAAAUAGCAGAACUCUUUAUUUAUUUAUGUAUUUAUUUGACUAAAUUGAUAUUAAGCAUUGAGGCAGGAAAAUUUGGAAGCUUGCAAGCAAACGGUUACUAUUAUUGUAUGGAAAUAUUUUAUUAUAUAGAUUGCAAAGUCACAAAAUCAUAAGAAAAUAAAUUACCUUAUCCAAUGAGUUUAAGUAAUCAACGGCUCGUUCUCUGUUCACUAAGAAAGUGUGCUCGUCCAUUUCAAUAUUGGGUGAGCCCCUAUGUAUAAAUAAUAUGCAUACAAUUAACGUAGAACAUGUCAAAAGUUAAUAAAAAAAAAAACAGGAAAUGAGUUAUUUAUCAAUAAAUAAAUAAAAAAGUUGAUUUAUAUUGGAAGAGAAGAGAAGAGAAGAGAAGAGAAGAGAUAAAAUAAUAAAGAAUUAACUUUUAUAUUGGAAGAGAAGAGAAGAGAAGAGAAGAGAAGAGAUAAAAUAAUAAAGAAUUAACUUACUUUCCCCACCACAGCUCGCGUUCGGUGGUCUCGUCCUUAACCACCCGCUUGUCUCUCGGGGAGCGUCCCGUCUUUGCACCUGAUAGCGUCGCUAAAGCUCCAGAUGACGUAAUAAACGACCCCUUCUCGUACUUAACGGCUUGCUCGUAAAGCUCUGUUCCAAAUAUCUAACCAUCAAAUACAGAAACCACCAGGGGUUUCAUUUGAAUCACAUAAUUAAUUUUGUGUGGAUAGAGAGAUAUAUACCAGCAGGGGAAAGAUUGUAAAGGACGUGCGUAAACUUGAGUGCACUGUCGCUAAUAUUGUCGUCAAACGUUGGAGUCGAUGUAUAAUGAAAUGAGUGCGUGGACGGCUGGCCAUCUACCUUCCUAGGCGUUGCCGGGUCCCCUUUCACCACCUUUGGCCCUGUCUCCCUCGUCAAAGAUGCCAACGAAGCACUGAAAUUAAAUAGAAAAUUGAAAAAAAAACACGGGUUGAUGAUGAAACGGCAUCGAUCGUUUCUAAUUAAUUAACUCGUGUCUAUGUUAUCACGUGCCUUAUGGACUGGAGUUGCUGCCUUUGGCGUUCCUCUUCGGAGAUGACGGCAAAUGAACCGUCGGCUGCAGUCCCCGUGGCGAGAGGGGAUUUGAUGGGAGUGCUGGGUGUCGAUCUCUUCUUCUGAAGAGAGUGAAGCUCGUCGAUCGUCUUUGCCUUUAUCGGCGUUGCGCUGUCAUCGUGACACACCAACGUUUCUUUAUUAUUAUUAUUUGUUUGAAUUCUCGGUAGCCCGUUUCGUCCUGUGCUUCUAGCCCUGCUCGUAAAACUGAACUCUCCGUUCUCAGCCAUUUCUUCAGUUUCUCUUUCUCUCUCUCUAUAUACAGGACAAGGCACAUGUACACACAUUCAGUACGAAUUAAAUUAAUUACACUUGUAUGCUGUGAAAUUAGAAAGAGACUGAGAAACACAAUACACGAAAAGCUACAGAAACGAAAAUGAAACCUGAAAACGAGGAUAAGGAUGAACGAACAAAAUUUCCUAGUCUUAUGUUGAGAUAUAUUUAUAUCUCUGGGGCAAAGAACAUUCGCUACUUAUAGGCAAGGUCGCCGAGGAUGGAAAGCUUAACCUUGGUUACUUAACUAUGGUUCUGGAGUUUUAACUUGAUCUUUUUGAUAAAUAUGGCAACGCGGAUCAUAUCCUCUGAAGCCGUCACCAAACGGUCGCAUGUCACCAAACGGUCGCAUGUUUAUGCAUGAUUGGGAGUUUCAUAUUACCUGAGAACUUCGAACCAAUAACGACACAUCAAUUUAAUUGUACAUAAAAAAAUUCUUUAAAUUAUCAAAGAUAGAUCCAGUUUUUUCGGAUGUGAAAAUAUUUGAACUGGGCUUCAACAAAAUACCGUCAAUUUUA
rnacentral:lncRNA from 1 species